rnacentral:lncRNA from 1 species
CAGACAAUAAUGCUGAUGCAUGCAAAAGCAUAAAGUACUUGAUGGCCGAAUAUUAGCAGCAAAUAAAGCUCCAAAACAGAGUUCAUACAGUUGGAUAGAUUGGUCAUGAUAGCAAAACUCCUGGUACAACUAAAAGCAACGAUAACAGGCCUACUAAAGUGCAGGUUUCUGGAAUAAGCGAGUUGACAGAUGAGAAGAAUGGCGCCACCAUGCCAAGCAAGUACGCCCGCAGUCAGCCGCAGCCAAAGACACACAUAGGAAGCUACAGCACACCGUCACCACCCCCAUCAGCCUACUUGGAUCGCUGCCUCAUCUUUCGGCGCUUCCUCUUCAGCCUCCUCAUGCGCUUCUUCUUCCACUGAAUCAAGAGAUAAGCCAAGUUAAAAAGGAUACAUGAUCACAUAAAUUAUUCAAUAAAACAAGAAUAGAAGGGUGGCUUCCAGGCAUGCUGUUUGCAAAAAAUAAACCAAGUAAUCCCAUGAACCUCAGUGGUAAACAGAAGUCGGAAGCAACCAAAAGCAAGGCAACAAUCAAUUCAGCUGCCCAAUCCUGAGACAGGUUGUGAACAGUUUAACUGAAAUGCACUGAAAAACUGCAUCUGCUACAACAUGGCAGUUCAACAUUCCAGCUAGUCAAUUAUCUAAUACUGUUCAUCUACUUGGAUGCGGGCAACUAUGUUCAGUAUCACUUGCUAAGGCCAAAAGGAAUGUUCAAUAGCGAGCAGACGAGCAGAUUGUCUGCAACAUAGAAAAUUUAACAAGUCUACUACAACACGCAUUAAACAUGUGGUACUACAGCCAGAUAAGCCAAUUCAUCUUAUUACUUAAAUCAUCAUAACCAAAGAAGAAAUUCGCAGGUUUUGAAACAGUAUGGCGACCACAAAGGACCAACCACUAACGUACAUAAUCAAACACCAACAGAGUACUUCAGCAAAUUGUUAAUUCACAUCCCGAGGGCUCAUAUCAAGUGCAUUCGACCUUCACCGUGGCAGGGAAACCCAAACGAGACAGACGACCCACGCACGCGCGCGCAAGCACGACGACAAGCAACGCGAGCACGGUACGGGAGAACCGGAACACGAGAUACCUAAGCCCACACGAUACAUCGAUCGAUCUAAGGUAACACGAGACAAAACAUGCCCCACCAUCGCCGCCACCGCCACCGCCGACGCAAGCGUCGUCGGGCGGCACCUCGCGUUCCAUCCCUGACCGGCUCGAGUUGCUCGCCCCGUCGCAGCCGCAGCAGAAACGGGGGGCACGAGCACGAGACGGCGAGAUCUGCCGGCUCGCUAGGGUUUCCCAGGAAUUCGAGCCAUUCGAGCCUCUCUCUUUGUAAUCAUAGCCCCCGCUCGGCAAAGAACGAACAAACAAACAAACGAAGGAACAAAACCAUGGCGGUCGUCGCAUGGAUCUAGGGGACGAACGGGAUAGGUGUCCGGGGACUAGAGCGUGUGGAUUGGGAGGUUACCUUGGCCCUCAUGGUCGGUCGCCUCCUCGCGAGAUCUCCUUCUCGCCCCUGCUGCUUCUCCUCCUCCUGCGGCGGCGGCGGCGGUCUUGUGGUGGGGAGUGGGGGGAGUGGGAGAAAGGGAUGCGCACUGGGGGGUUACAAGAAGCGAAACCCUAGGAAGGUAGCUUCGAGAAUAUGGGCCUGGGCUUGUUAGCCGCUCGAAUGCCCACACGCUAUGGGCGUAUUGGGCUGAAGGCAUUCGAGGUAACUCUGCUUUCCUUUCCCUUUAGCGGUUUAGCGGAAGCAACUAGUUAACGAGCGCUUCUUCAGGAGCCUCGCAACGAUCAGCGCCACUUGUCGCGUUCUCAGCCAUUCGUCACGUGUCGUGUUCUGGACGUUUUUUCGGAUUUUAUUUUUUUAUUUUUCCACACGCGUUUUCGGCUUUUAAAUGGUUUUUUCCCGGGUUUUUUUUACGUUUUGGUUUUCCCCCGGUCUUUCUUAGCUUUUCGAUUAAAAAAAAUUCGAAAUUUUUUUUUUGCGCGAAAGAACACGUUUUCUUUUUUUCCUUUCGCAAAAGUCAUGGGGUUUUUUUCCGCGAGAGGUACGGUUGUGCUUUAUCGAGAGUCACGGCCGUGCUUUUCGAAAACGAAAAAAAAAUGUGUUUUCUGUUUUUUUUCUUUUGCGAGAGUCACGGUUUUUCUUCCGCAAGAGGCACGGUUGUGCUUUUGCGAGAGGCACGGCCGUGACUCUCGCAAANNNNNNNNNNNNNNNNNNNNNNNNNNNNNNNNNNNNNNNNNNNNNNNNNNNNNNNNNNNNNNNNNNNNNNNNNNNNNNNNNNNNNNNNNNNNNNNNNNNNNNNNNNNNNNNNNNNNNNNNNNNNNNNNNNNNNNNNNNNNNNNNNNNNNNNNNNNNNNNNNNNNNNNNNNNNNNNNNNNNNNNNNNNNNNNNNNNNNNNNNNNNNNNNNNNNNNNNNNNNNNNNNNNNNNNNNNNNNNNNNNNNNNNNNNNNNNNNNNNNNNNNNNNNNNNNNNNNNNNNNNNNNNNNNNNNNNNNNNNNNNNNNNNNNNNNNNNNNNNCUCGCAAAAGAAAAAAAACAGAAAACACGUUUUUUUUUUCGUUUCCGAAAGGCACGGCCGUGCCUCUCGGAAAGGGAAAAACAAAACGCGUUUUUUGUUUUUUUUCUUUCGUGAGAGUUACGGUUUUGCUUCCGCGAGAGGCAUGGUUGUACUUACGCGAAAGUCACGGCCGUGCCUCUCGGAAAGGGAAAAAAUACGCAUUUUCUUUUUUUUUCUUUCACGAGAGUUACGGUUUUGCUUCCGCAAGAGGCACGGUUGUGCUUUCGCGAGAGUCACAAUCGUGUCUCUCGAAAACGGAAAAAACGCGUUUUCUGUUUUUUUCCUUCCACGAGAGUCACGAUUUUGCUUCCACGAGAGACACGGUUGUGAUUUCGCGAGAGGCACGGGCGUGCCUCUUUUGGAAAGGGAAAAAAACCGUGCUUCCGAUUCGGUUUUUUCGCCCGGUUUUUUUCGUCCGGUUUUUUUCGUGAAAAAAAAGUUCGUCAAAACCUAUCAAAAUGGGACCUAAUUUUAAAGAUCUCGACGCGAGGAAUCCAAUGGUGAAAACGGUUCGAGAUUUGGACGCACGGUUUAAGAGAUAAAACGUUUUGAAUAAACGGAUCUACGAAAAAAGGGAAAACUCCCCGAUUGCGACAAGUGGCGCGCUGCAUGUGCGCCACUUGUCGCGACCUGGGAAAGUGAAGUGUUCUUUGCAACGAGUACUCCUUAAUUAGUGAUUUCGCCCUUUAGCCGCCCCCUCUCUCGCGUGUCAGCUGGGUGUUCGAAAAAAAAACUGAGUGUUCACAUGCACAAUAGCUUUUUUUUCUUAGGACAGCAUUGACGUAGCCUCAAAAAUAAGAAAGAAAGAAAAUCACCAUUGAGGUGGGUGGCUCCGUACAAUCAGGAACGGAGCUCACGUACAACCACUGGUGUCAGUUGACACCAGUGGAGUUCAGCGUUUCAAUUAGCAUGCUUAAUAAAUUUUGUCUUUGACGCCAGCCAGAAAGAUCGAUUGACACCAACCCGGCCGACGGAAAGCCGCUCCACAAACCCAAAAUGCCAGCCCAAUUACAGUCGUGCAAACAAAAAGGCUGACGGGAAGCCCGCAACACGUUAAUAUGAGAGUUAAUAGCAUCCCAGGUACCCUAACUUGCAUAGAAUGUGAUGAUUCAGUUUCAAACUUGCAAAAUUUGACUCCACCAUACCCCAACUUGCACCUCAUGUGAUGAUUUAGUCUCAAGCCAAUCACAACUCGACAAUUGGCAGCUAGGUUGCCGGACCGGUCAGCGCACGCACUUUUGCAGAAACCCCCCCUGCUGUUUUUCCUAUACCCCAACUUGCAACAGCUGUAAAUGGCAACAAUGGUUAGCAACUGACAGAAUGGAAUCACGAUGCAAGACUGGGAAUAUACCAUUUCACAGAAUAGCAUUUACCUGGUUAGUGCUCAUGAGAUACAAGUGAAACACUGAGAGGCCACCAACAAACCAAACCGCGAUAAAUGUGUACUCCAGAGCGAUAGAAGCAGGGGUCUUUGCCAUUGCCUUCCAUAUUGUUAUCUGCUCUGUAGGGCUCCUGGAGGCUUGCGCUCCCGCGCGACGGAGUUGAGCCCGUCGCCACAGCUGCGUCCGGGAAGUGAAGUCUGGUGCACUCACGCAACGGCGUCAAGGAUGCCAUCCACUACAAUGGCAGGUUCUACUCGAUCACAUACUUCGGCGAAGUAGAGGCAUGGGAUGAGUGCGGCGCCGAUGACCCAGGUGUGUUCGCAAGUGUGGUGAUCUCGCCGAGGCUGCCAGCCGACACCGAGCACCGCAAGUACCUAAUGGCGGCGCCGGGCGGGCCGCUGAUGGUCGUGCUCAAGGAGGGUCGGCGGACGUCUCCAUCCUUCAAGGUGCAGGUCCUCGGUGGCGGCGGCAAGGAGUGGAAGGUGACGGACGACAUCGGCGAAACAACGCUCUUCAUUGGGGGGAACGGUUCCUUCUGCGUGUCCACGAGGGAGCACCCGGAGCUCAGGGCCGGCUGCGUCUACUACACCGAGGACGAUCCGGGGCUAUACAAGGAUGCUCGCGACCGCUACUACAAUGGCAUUAAUUGGGGUAUUCACCCUCAAGGAUGGCAGCCGGGAGAAGGUCGAGGGCCUUGCGCUGGUCGCCACCAGUGUGGUUCAUGCCUUCCAUCCCAUUGUGAUGGAUACUGUGACUGAUUUCAUAGCUGUUGGGGUGGGUUAAGUGCUACUAUAUUAUGUGCAUUACUACAGUAUAGAUGCAGCAACAGGCUUAUGAAUCUGAAUUAAUCAAACAAUUCGGCUUGAUUUCCAGUAAAAAGGCUUCAGUAGAAACUUAGGAAACAGUUUGAUUUUCUGCUUCUUCUUUUCGUCUUCCAGAUUGUGGCAUAGUAAACAAAGGUGGCCCUUUUAGGUUGCUUUUUAAGUAUUCUGAUGGAACAAUUUAAUCAGUAUGCAUGACUCAGACUUAAUUUUAUGCUAUGAUGAUUGCAGCUCAUAUUAGUACGUAAUUAUUGCCCGAAGCUUUAAUUUAGAACGUUGGGGUUCGGGCCACCUUUCAUGACUUUUUUUAUGCAUGGCUCAGACCCUUAUUGAAGUAAUUAUUGCAGCUCUUAUUAGUAAGUAAUUAUCUGUUUGGGUGAGGUUUCUGGAUUAACAGGUUUAAUUCAGAACUAAACAGAGGAGAACAGUACUUAUAGCUAGAGAAGACUGUUUGGUUUGCUGGGUUCAUAAUAGCAUUUUGUGUUUGUGUUUUGCCUUUUGAUUGUUUCAAACUGCAACCAAUUCUGGAAUAUGAUCACGGCACUGCAUUUGCCUGCCUUUUGAUUAUCAUGCAGAUUUGAGGUGUGGGGUGUUGAGAGGGUACAUUACAUUUCCAUCCACAUCGGUGGCGUUCAGUUUUGCCUUCUUGUUGAUUAUUGAGAGGAAUCAAAUUGUCUUUUCACCAAUUUCUGUGGUCAUUGGAGUAGCAUCCUCUGCUUUCUCUUACCAGCACUCCAGCAGAGCAUGACUGUUACUGCAUGUUUCUGAAGAUAUACAUGCUGAAGUUUCAGUAACAACUAAGGAGAACAUUUGGAAACAAAAUAUGAUUUAAGAUACACACCAAGUAGCAGGUAACAUCAUAAAUUAGGAUUUUUGUACUAGCUAGUAUGCUGAAGCAGGUUGCAGGGGCCAGAUUUCUACUGCCCCCUGAUAAUGGGUGGCACGAAGCUGCACUUUGAGAUGCAGGGUUGUCCAUUUUUUAGAGUAAAUUAGGAUUAGUUGGACAAUGACCAGAGCUUAGUUAAGGAAAUGUUCUUUAUUAUUUAAGUAUAUGUGGUGCUGCUCAUACAUGUUGGUGCUGGUGCCAUGGGUGAUUUGAGAGCCUGAAUGCCGGCUUACUGCAAUAUCUUUUUGAAGAAAGUGUUUGGGGUUCAGGAGUACCGAAAACGAUUUGUGUUUGUUUCAAACUGCAACCACAGUUUGUUUUUAAUUUUCGAAUGGUCAACGUCGGUUUGUUUGGCUGCCUAUUUGUAUUGCUAUAGGCAAGAGUACAUCCAUCCUCUGCUUUCCACCAGCAUAGAAUCACCCUUACUGAACAUCUCUCAAGAUGUAUUUACAUACUUGGUUAUCAUCAUCAGUAACUAAAGAGAACAGUUGGAUCUUCUUGGAGUUCCAUUGUUGAAUCUCAAACUGCAACACACUAAUCGUUUUUCUUUUCUUUUGUUAAGAAUGAUCGAUCCAAGUUUUGGUCGCUGCUUAUGCAGUGGGCAAUUAAUGGUUCAGUUCACGGCAUGCUUCAGAAUUACUUCCAUGGCUGCAAUGUCAGGCUUGAUCUGUACAUCCUUGGUAUGUAUAUCAAGGAGGAAUACAUGCAGGUCAGGAGCUAAGAAUCGUUUUGUGGGCCGUUCCUUGCCUUUUGUGCUCUUGAUUGAUUAGUUUAUUAGGCUCUAGUCUGAGUGCCGGUAUCCCUUUUUCACUUUUAUUUUUGUUGGUUUUUAUUAUAAUACAGGAAGAUCUGCUGCGCGUAUAAGAGCAAGUACAAUAGAGCUGAGUCAGCUGGCUAUAAAAAAUAAACUAUUAUAUUCUUGCUUAGUUGGAGGAAAAAGAAAAGGAGAGAGAAGAUAAGCGGGCUCUUGAUGAAGAGUCAGCUCUAGCACGUGCUCCUAGGCACUUUGUGAGAGUGAAAAGUGGGCCAUAUAAUAAAAAAGUAAUACACUCUUCUAAUCAACUAUUGUACAUAUUGCCUAUAAGAUGAGCUAUAGAUGACAUGGCAAUGGCUUAUAGCCAGCAGUUGGCUAUACUAUUAACCAUGCUCUAACAAAACGGUAGGGGGUUUCUGCAAAAGUGCGUGCGCUGACCGGUCCAGUCACUUGGCUGCCAAGCUGUGAUUGGCCUGAGACUAAAUCAUCACAUGAUGUGCAAGUUGAAGUAUGGUGGAGGCAAGUUUUGCAAGUUUGAGACUGAAUCAUCACAUUCUGUGCAAGUUAGGGUACCUAUGAUGCUAUUACCUCUUAAUCUAAUAGCUGCGGUUGUGAGUUGUGACAUACGCAGAAGUACGUGCAGGUCGCACCAUCCACACCUAUCCGUCUUUUCGCCGCCUGGUGUUUCUCAACAAAAAAAAGCCUCUCCUCGCCGACUCAAUCCUCAAUUUCGGCAUCCAGAACCAAACCCUAGCAAUCUCAAUCUCUCUCUCACCGCUCGAUGGAACAACACAACUGCGAAGCAAAAACAGCAUGUUUUCAUGCCGGCCAGCCGGCGGCCGCAGCGGCAACAAAACAAUUUUAAUCUAAUAGUCUGCUGAGGAAAGUUCCUGAGUCCAGGUCUCCGGCAAGGUACACCAUGUCUGUACGGACAUAUGUGACCCCUAUACAGAAAUUUCUCACCUUGCCUAUUUUGAAUUUCUCUUCCUUGAUUCAUAUGGGGAUUAUGCAUAUUUUUUUGUUGAAAUGAACUAUAUCACAUGAUGAUUUUGAUUCAACAAAAUUGAUUGAUCUUGGUCAUGAACUUCACAUUUACAUUGAUAAUGUGCGGACAAAUCAAAUAUUUUCCAAUUUGGUUUGUAUUGCUGAGCUUGCUAUAUUGUUCGUGGAUGCCCAGAAGAAUCUUUUUUCUUUGAUUUGGUGCAUCGACUUCUAAAUUUGAUUCUAAUUUUGUUGAUUGUUGGUGAUUUUCAAAAAUUAAUAUUGGCAGCAAUGUUCUACAUAACAAAAUGAGUGAGCGGUUUAUGAGUGAUUGACUGAUUUGCUAAGCAGGAAAAAAAUUCUACCAUUACAAAUGAUGACAUGAUUAAUCUCUUUAAGAAGGUGAAAGGCCAUGAAGGGAAAUUAUAAAAUGUGAGUCUCGAGUCACUUUAAGUUUCGUUUGAUGAUAUUUAUAUUUAGUGUUAUUAGUUAUGUACAAUCGUUGUCAGUGUAAUAUGUUUUGUUUGUUGAUCUUUUGCUCGAAGUUAUAAAUGAAGCUCUCUAUAGUCGUCUUUUUUUAUUUUCUUCUUCUUAUGAAUUUGUAACUGGUUUCUUGCCUUCACUUGGUAUGCAAGCUUUUAAAUAAACAACUAUUAUAUUGUUUGCUAAUUGCAUAUUUUCAUUCUUUGUAUUGUUUUUUUGAAAGUUAUUUAUAUUUCCUGCCAUAAUCCAGUAGUGGGUUGUGGCUGACACCAAUGGCGAUUUUUUCUAGCUUCGUCCCUGCGUACAAUGUUAUUCCUUAAAUUCGUCAUCUUCCAACACCGAGGAAGCACGACGGGUUCGCGGUGGCAAGGCGCACAACUAACUACAUCGCCAAACGGAGCAAACUACGAAGGUGGGGUCCCCCGCCAUCCAACACCGCUAGUGUCCCGAAGGAGCAACAACGUCCAUGGCAGCUGCCUGCUUGAGCUUAGCCACAACAAUCUGUUGGGGAACAUAGCAGAAAUUCAAAAUUUUCUACGCAUAACCAAGAUCAAUUUAUGGAGUAAUCUAGCAACGAGGGGAAGGAGAGUGCAUCUACAUACCCUUGUAGAUCGCUAAGCGGAAGCGUUCAAGUGAACGGGGUUGAUGGAGUCGUACUCGCCGUGAUCCAAAUCACCGAUGAUCCUAGUGCCGAACGGACAGCACCUCCGCGUUCAACACACAUGCAGCCCGGUGACGUCUCCCAUGCCUUGAUCCAGCAAGGAGAGAGGGAGAGGUUGGGGAAGACUCCGUCCAGCAGCAGCACGACGGCGUGGUGGUGGUGGAGGAGCGUGGUACUCCAGCAGGGCUUCGCCAAGCACCGUAAGAGACGAGGAGGGAGAGGGGUAGGGCUGCGCCAAGAAGGAGAUGUUCUCGUAUGUAUGGCAGCCCAAAACCCCACUAUAUAUAGGGGAAAGGGAGGGGCUGCGCCCCCACCUAGGUUUCCACCCCUAGGGGUGGCGGCCAGCCCUAGAUCCCAUCUAGGGGGGCGGCCAAGGGGGGAGAGAGGGGGGCGCACCACUAGGUGGGCCUUAGGCCCAUCUGAGCCUAGGGUUUCCCCUUUUCCCUUCUCUCUUCGCCUUGGGCCCUGGUGGGGGGGCGCACCAGCCCACCUGGGGCUGGUCCCCUCUCACACUUGGCCCUCGUAGCCCUCUGGGGCAGGUAGCCCCACCUGGUGGACCCCCGGGACCCUCCCGGUGGUCCCGGUACGUUACCGAUAGCACCUGAAACUUUUCCGGUGACCAAAACAGGACUUCCCAUAUAUAAAUCUUUACCUCCGGACCAUUCCGGAACUCCUCGUGAUGUCGGGGAUCUCAUCCGAGACUCUGAACAACAUUUGGUAACCACGUAUAUCUAUUCCCUAUAACCCUAGCGUCAUCGAACCUUAAGUGUGUAGACCCUACGGGUUCGGGAACCAUGCAGACAUGACCGAGACACCUCUCUGGCCAAUAAACAACAGCAGGAUCUGGAUACCCAUGUUGGCUCCCACAUGUUCCACGAUGAUCUCAUCGGAUGAACCACGAUGUCGAGGAUUCAAUCAAUCCCGUAUUCAAUUCCCUUUGUCUAGCGGUAUUGUACUUGCCCGAGAUUCGAUCGUCGGUAUCCGAUACCUUGUUCAAUCUCGUUACUGGCAAGUCUCUUUACUCGUUCCAUAACACAUCAUCCCGUGAUCAACUCCUUGGUCACAUUGCGCAUAUGAUGAUGUCCUACCGAGCGGGCCCAGAGAUACCUCUCCGUCACACGGAGUGACAAAUCCCAGUCUCGAUUCGUGCCAACCCAACAGACACUUUCGGAGAUAUCCGUAGUGUACCUUUAUAGCCACCCAGUUACGUUGUGACGUUUGGCACACCCAAAGCAUUCCUACGGUAUCUGAGAGUUGCACAAUCUCAUGGUCUAAGGAAAUGAUACUUGACAUUAGAAAAGCUUUAGCAUACGAACUACACGAUCUUAGUGCUAGGCUUAGGAUUGGAUCUUGUCCAUCACAUGAUUCUCCUAAUGAUGUGAUCCCGUUAUCAACGACAUCCAAUGUCCAUGGUCAGGAAACCGUAACCAUCAAUUGAUCAACGAGCUAGUCAACUAGAGGCUUACUAGGGACAUGGUGUUGUCUAUGUAUUCACACAUGUAUCUGAGUUUCCUAUCAAUACAAUUAUAGCAUGGAUAAUAAACGAUUAUCAUGAACAAGGAAAUAUAAUAAUAACCAAUUUAUUAUUGCCUCUAGGGCAUAUUUCCAACAGUCUCCCACUUGCACUAGAGUCAAUAAUUUAGUUCACAUCGCCAUGUGAUUAACAUUCACAGGUCACAUCGCCAUGUGACCAACAUCCAAAGAGUUUACUAGAGUUCAAUAAUCUAGUUCACAUCACUAUGUGAUUAACACUCAAUGAGUUCUGGGUUUGAUCAUGUUACUUGUGAGAGAGGUUGUAGUCUACGGGCCUGUCACAUUCAGAUCCGUAUGUACUUUGCAAAUUUCUACACUAUAUUUGGAGCCAUUUCAAAUAACGGUUCUACUUGGAGCUAUUCUAAAUUGUUGCUCCAUUAUACGUAUCCGGUAUCUCUACUCAGAGCUAUCCGGAUAGGUGUUAAGCUUGCAUCGACGUAACUCUUUACGUCGAACUCUUUAUCACCUCCAUAACCGAGAAACAUAUCCUUAUUCCUCUAAGGAUAAUUUUGACCGCUAUCUGGUAAUCUACUCCUAGAUCACCUUUGUACCCUCUUGCCAGACAUGUGGCAAGGCACACAUCAGGUGCGGUACUUAGCAUGGCAUACCGUAUAGAGCCUAUGACAAAAGCAUAGGGGACGACCUUCAUCCUUCCUCUUUCUUCUGUCGUGGUCGAGCUUUAAGUCUUAACUUCAUACCUUACAACUCAGGCAAGAACUCCUUCUUUGGCUGAUCCAUCUUGAACACCUUCAAGAUCAUGUCAAGGUAUGUGCUCAUUUGAAAGUACCAUUAAGCGUUUUUUAUCUAUCCUUAUAGAUCUUGAUGCUCAAUGUUCAAGUAGCUUAAUCCAGGUUUUCCAUUGAAAAAACACCUUUCAAACAACCCUAUAUGCUUUCCAGAAAUUCUACAUCAUUUCGGAUCAACAAUAUGUCAUCCACAUAUACUUAUCUGAAAUGUUGUAGUGCUCCCACUCACUUUAUUAUAAAUACAAGUUUCUAACAAACUUUGUAUAAACCCAUAAACUUUGAUUGCUCCAUCAAAGUAUAUAUUCCGACCCCAAGAUGCUUGCUCUAGUCCAUGGAUGGAUCGCUGGAGCUAGCAUACCUUUUAGCAUCCUUAGGAUCGACAAAACCUUUUUGAUUGUAUCACAUACAACCUUUCCUUACGAAAACUGGUAAGGAAACUUGUUUUGACAUCCAUCUGCCAGAUUUCAUAAAUACAGCUUAUGCUAACACGAUUCCGACGGACUUAAGCAUCGCUACGGGUGAGAAAAUCUCAUCGUAGUCAACUUCUUGAACUUGUGAAAAACUCUUCGCCACAAGUCGAGCUUCAUAGACGAUGACAUUACCGUCCACGUCCGUCUUCUUCUUAAAAUCCACAUGUACCUAACAGCCUUACGACCAUCAAGUAGUUCUUCCAAAGUCUACAGUUUGUUUUCAUACAUGGAUCCUCUCUCGGAUUUUAUGGCCUCGAGCCAAUUUUCGGAAUCCGGGCCCACCAUCGCUUCUCCAUAGCUCAUAGGUUCAUCGUUGUCCAACAACGUGACCUUUAAGACAGGGUUACCACUUAGAAGUUGUACACACCCUUGUCAACCCAUGAGGUUCGAAAGUAACUUGAUCUGAAGCUCCAUGAUCAUCAUCAUUAGCUUUCUCUUCAACUGAGGCAGGUGCCACAGAAACAUUUUUCCUGUGCUGCGCUACUCUCUGGUUGAAGUAAAGGUUCAACAACCUUAUCAAGUUCUAUCUUCCUCCCACUCAAUUCUUUCGAGAGAAACUUUUCCUCGAGAAAGGACCCGAUUCGAGAAACAAUCCCUAUUGCUUUCGGAUCUGAGACAGGAGGUAUACCCAACUAUUUUGGGUGUCCUAUGAAGAUGCAUUUAUCCGCUUUGGGUUCGAGCUUAUCGGCCUGAAACUUUUCCACAUAAGCGUUGCAGCCCCAAACUUUUAAGAAAUGACAGCUUAGGUUUCUCUAAACCAUAGUUCAUACGGUGUCAUCUCAUCGGAAUUACGUGGUGCCCUAUUUAAAGUGAAUGUGGUUGUCUCUAAUGCCUAACCCAUAAACUAUCGUGGUAAUUCGAUAAGAGACAUCAUGGUAUGCAUCAUAUCCAAUAGGGUGCAGUUAUGAUGUUCGGACACACCAUCACACUAUGGCGUUCCAGGCUGUAUUAGUUGUGAAACAAUUUCCACAAUGUCUUAAUUCUGUGCCAAACUCAUAAUUCAGAUAUUCAUCUCUAUGAUCAUAUCAUAGAUAUUUUAUCCUCUUGUCACGACGAUCUUCAACUUCACCCUGAAAUUACUUGAACCUUUCAAUAAUUCAGACUCGUGAUUCAUCAAGUAAAUAUACUCAGCAUCUGCUCAAAUCAUCUGUGAAGUAAGAAUAUAAUGAUAUCCACUACAUGCCUCAGCACUCAUUGGACUGCACACAUCAAGAUGUAUUACUUCCAACAAGUUGCUUUCUUGUUCCAUCUUACUGAAAACAAGGCCUUUCAGUCAUCUUGCUCAUGUGGUAUGAUUUGCAUGUCUCAAGUGAUUCAAAAUCAAGCGAGUCCAAAGAUCCAUCAACAUGGAGCUUCUUCAUGCGUUUUAUACCAUUGUGACUAAAAUUGCAGUGCCACAAGUAUGUGGUACUAUCAUUACUAUCUUAUAUCUUUUGGCAUGAACAUGUGUAUCACUACGAUCGGGAUUCAAUAAACCAUUCAUUUUAGGUGUAAGACCAUUGAAGGUAUUAUUCAAAUAAACAGAGUAACCAUUAUUCUCCUUAAAUGAAUAACCGCAUUGCGAUGAACAUAAUCUAAUCAUGUCCAUGCUCAACGCAAACACCAAAUAACAAUUAUUUAGGUUUAACACCAACCCCGAUGGUAGACGGAGCUGCGAUGUUUGAUCACAUCAACCUUGGAAACUCUUCCAACACCUAUCGUCGUCUCACCUUUGGCUAGUCUCCGUUUAUUCUUUAGCCUUUUAUUUCGAGUUACUAACACUUAGCAACCGAACCGGUAUCUAAUACCCUGCUGCUACUAGGAGUACUAGUAAAGUACACAUUUAAUAUAUGUCCAAUACAUACUUCUGUCAACCUUGUCAGCCUUCUCAUCUACCAAGUAUCUAGGGUGGUUCUGCUUCAGUGACCGUUCCCCUUAUUAUAGAAGCACUUAGUCUCGGGCUUGGGUUCAACUUUGGGUUUCUUCACUAGAGCAGCAACUGAUUUGUUGUUUCAUGAAGUAUCCCUUUCUUGCCCUUGCCCUUCUUGAAACUAGUGGUUUUACUAACCAUUAACAAUUGAUGCUCCCUUUUGAUUUCUACUUUCGCGAUGUCGCGAAUAGCUCAAGGAUCAUAUCUAUCCCUGAUAUGUUAUAGUUCAUCACGAAGCUCGAGUAGCUUGGUGACAGUGACUUUGGAGAACCAUCACUAUCUCAUCUGGAAGAUUAACUCCCACUCGAUUCAAGCGAUUGUUGUACUCAUACAAUCUGAGCACAUGAUCAACGAUUGAGCUUUUCUCCUUAGUUUGCAGGCUUAAGAAACUUGUCAAAGGUCUCAUACCUCUAGACGUGGGCACUAGCCUGAAAUCCCAAUUUCAGUCCUUGGAACAUCUCAUAUGUUCUGCGAUGUUUCAAAAACAUCUUUGGUGCCUCAAUUCUAAACCAUUUAGCAUUAUGCACUGAACUAUCAUGUAGUCAUCAAAACGUGUAUGUCAGAUGUUCGCAACAUCCACAACCGACAUUCGUGGGUCAGCUCACCGAGCGGUGCAUUAAGGACAUAAUCCUUCUGCGCAGCAAUGAGGACAAUCCUCUGUUUACGAUCCAGUCCGCAUAAUUGCUACUAUCAACUUUCAACUAAAUUUUCUCUGGGAACAUAUCUAAAAUGGUAGAACUAAAGCGUGAGCUACGACAUAAUUUGCAAAGUCCUUUUGACUAUGUUCAUGAUAAUUGAGUUCAUCUGAUUAUUUCAUGAACUCCCACUCAGAUAGACAUCCCUCUAGUCAUCUAAGUGAUAAAUGAUCCGAAUCGACUAGGCCGUGUCCGAUCAUCACGUGAGACGGACUCGUCAUCAUCGGUGAACAUCUCAUGUUGAUCGCAUCUUCUAUACGACUCAUGUUCGACCUUUCGGUCCUCCGUGUUCCGAGGCCAUGUCUGUACAUGCUAGGCUCGUCAAGUUAACCUAAGUGUUUCACAUGUGUUCCGAGGCCAUGUCUGUACAUGCUAGGCUCGUCAACACCCGUUGUAUUCGAAAGUAAGAAUCUAUCACACCCGGUCAUCACGUGGUGCUUCGAAACGACGAACCUUCGCAACGGUGCACAGUUAGGGAAAACACUUUUCUUGAAAUUUUAGUGAGGGAUCAUCUUAUUUAAGCUACCAUCGUUCUAAGCAAAUAAGAUGUAAAAACAUGAUAAAACAUCACAUGCAAUCAAAUAGUGACAUGAUAUGGCCAUCAUCACUUUGCUCCUUUUGAUCUCCAUCUUCGGGGCUCCAUGAUCAUCAUCGUCACCGGCAUGACACCAUGAUCUCCAUCAUCAUGAUCUCCAUCAUCGUGUCUUCAUGAAGUUGUCUCGCCAACUAUUACUUCUACUACUACAGCUAACGGUUAGCAAUAAAGUAAAGUAAUUACAUGACGUUUAUGUUGACACACAGGUCAUAAAUAAAUCAAGACAACUCCUAUGGUUCCUGCCGGUUGUCAUACUCAUCGACAUGCAAGUCGUGAUUCCUAUUACAAGAACAUAAUCAAUCUCAUACAUCACAUAUAUCAUUCAUCACAUCCUUUUGGCCAUAUCACAUCACAAGGCAUAUGCUGCAAAAACAAGUUAGACGUCCUCUAAUUGUUGUUGCAAGUUUUUACGUGGCUGCUAUAGGUUUCUAGCAAGAACGUUUCUUACCUACGCGAAAACCACAACGUGAUAUGCCAAUUUCUAUUUACCCUUCAUAAGGACCCUUUUCAUCGAAUCCGAUCCGACUAAAGUGGGAGAGACAGACACCCGCCAGCCACCUUAUGAAACUAGUGCAUGUCAGUCGGUGGAACCGGUCUCACCUAAGCGUACGUGUAAGGUUGGUCCGGGCCGCUUCAUCCCACAAUGCCGCCGAAUCAAGAUAAGACUAGUAAUGGCAAGUAAAUUGACAAAAUCGACGCCCACAACUACUUUGUGUUCUACCCGUGCAUAGAAACUACGCAUAGACCUAGCUCAUGAUGCCACUGUUGGGGAACGUAGCAGAAAUUCAAAGUUUUCUACGCAUCACCAAGAUCAAUCUAGCAACGAGGGGAAGGAGAGUGCAUCUACAUACCCUUGUAGAUCGCUAAGCUGAAGCGUUCAAGUGAACGGGGUUGAUGGAGUCGUACUCGCCGUGAUCCAAAUCACCGAUGAUCCUAGUGCCGAACGGACGACACCUCCGCGUUCAACACACAUGCAGCCCGGUGACGUCUCCCAUGCCUUGAUCCAGCAAGGAGAGAGGGAGAGGUUGGGGAAGACUCCGUCCAGCAGCACAACGGCGUGGUGGUGGUGGAGGAGCGUGGUACUCCAGCAGGGCUUCGCCAAGCACCGUAAGAGACGAGGAGGGAGAGGGGUAGGGCUGCGCCAAGAAGGAGAUGUUCUCGUAUGUAUGGCAGCCCAAAACCCCACUAUAUAUAGGGGAAAGGGAGGGGCUGCGCCCCCACCUAGGUUUCCACCCCUAGGGGUGGCGGCUAGCCCUAGAUCCCAUCUAGGGGGGCGGCCAAGGGGGAAGAGAGGGGGGGUGCACCACUAGGUGGGCCUUAGGCCCAUCUGAGCCUAGGGUUUCCCCUUUUCCCUUCUCUCUUCGCCUUGGGCCCUGGUGGGGGCGCACUAGCCCACCUGGGGCUGGUCCCCUCUCACACUUGGCCCACGCAGCCCUCUGGGGCAGGUAGCCCCACCUGGUGGACCCCCAGGACCCUCCCGGUGGUCCCGGUACGUUACCGAUAGCACCUGAAACUUUUCCGGUGACCAAAACAGGACUUCCCAUAUAUAAAUCUUUACCUUCGGACCAUUCCGGAACUCCUCGUGAUGUCCGGGAUCUCAUCUGGGACUCCGAACAACAUUCGGUAACCACGUAUAUCUAUUCCCUAUAACCCUAGCGUCAUCGAACCUUAAGUGUGUAGACCCUACGGGUUCGGGAACCAUGCAGACAUGACCGAGACACCUCUCUGGCCAAUAACCAACAGCGGGAUCUGGAUACCCAUGUUGGCUCCUACAUGUUCCACGUGUAGGGGAACGUAGUAAUUUCAAAAAAAUUCCUACGCACACACAAGAUCAUGGUGAUGCACAGCAACGAGAGGGGAGAGUGUUGUCUACGUACCAACGCAGACUGACUGCGGAAGCGAUCACACAACGUAGAGGAAGUAGUCGUACGUUUUCCCGAUCCGACCGAUCCAAGCACCGUUACUCCGGCACCUCCGAGUUCUUAGCACACGUACAGCUCGAUGACGAUCCCCGGGCUCCGAUCCAGCAAAGCGUCAGGGAAGAGUUCCGUCAGCACGACGGCGCGGUGACGAUCUUGAUGUUCUACCGUCGCAGGGCUUCGCCUAAGCGCCGCUACAAUAUGAUCGAGGUGGAAUAUGGUGGCAGGGGGCACCGCACACGGUUAUGGAACGAUCACGGGGAUCAAUUGUGUGUCUAGAGGUGCCCCUGCCCCUGUAUAUAAAGGAGCAAGGGGAGAGAGGUGCGGCCAGCCUUGGGGCGCGCCACGAGGAGUCCUACUCCCUCUGGGAGUAGGAUUCCCCCCCAAUCCUAGUUGGAAUAGGAAUCCUCAAGGGGGGAAAGAGAGAGAGGGGGGCCGGCCACCUUGGGCUGCCCCUUUCUCCUUUCCACUAAGGCCCAUGAAGGCCCAUAUGGCUCCCGGGGGGUUCCGGUAACCUCCCGGUACUCCGGUAAAAUCCCGAUUUCACCCGGAACACUUCCGAUAUCCAAAUAUAGGCUUCCAAUAUAUCAAUCUUUAUGUCUCGACCAUUUUGAGACUCCUCGUCAUGUCCGUGAUCACAUCCAGGACUCCGAACAACCUUCGGUACAUCAAAAUGCAUAAACUCAUAAUAACUGUCAUCGUAACGUUAAGCGUGCGGACCCUACGGUUCGAGAACAAUGUAGACAUGACCGGGACACGUCUCCGGUCAAUAACCAAUAGCGGGACCUGGAUGCCCAUAUUGGCUCCUACAUAUUCUAUGAAGAUCUUUAUCGGUCAGAUCGCAUAACAACAUACAUUGUUCCCUUUGUCAUCGGUAUGUUACUUGCCCGAGAUUCGAUCGUCGGUAUCCAAUACCUAGUUCAAUCUCGUUACCGGCAAGUCUCUUUACUCGUUUUGUAAUACAUCAUCCGGCUACUAACUCAUUAGUUGCAAUGCUUGCAAGGCUUAUGUGAUGUGCAUUACCGAGAGGGCCCCAGAGAUACCUCUCCGACAAUCGGAGUGACAAAUCCUAAUCUCGAAAUACGCCAACCCAACAUCUACCUUUGGAGACACCUGUAGAGCUCCUUUAUAAUCACCCAUUUACGUUGUGACGUUUGGUAGCACACAAAGUGUUCCUCCGGUAAAUGGGAGUUGCAUAAUCUCAUAGUCAUAGGAACAUGUAUAAGUCAUGAAGAAAAGCAAUAGCAACAUACUAAACGAUCGGGUGCUAAGCUAAUGGAAUGGGUCAUGUCAAUCAGAUCAUUCAACUAAUGAUGUGACCUCGUUAAUCAAAUAACAACUCUUUGUUCAUGGUUAGGAAACAUAACCAUCUUUGAUUAACGAGCUAGUCAAGUAGAGGCAUACUAGUGACACUCUGUUUGUCUAUGUAUUCACACAUGUAUUAUGUUUCCGGUUAAUACAAUUCUAGCAUGAAUAAUAAACAUUUAUCAUGAUAUAAGGAAAUAAAUAAUAACUUUUAUUAUUGCCUCUAGGGCAUAUUUCCUUCAGUCUCCCACUUGCACUAGAGUCAAUAAUCUAGAUUACACUGUAAUGAUUCUAACACCCAUGGAGCUUUGGUGCUGAUUAUGUUUUGCUCGUGGAAGAGGCUUAGUCAACGGGUCUGCAACAUUCAGAUUCGUAUGUAUCUUGCGAAUCUCUAUGUCUCCCACCUGGACUAGAUCCCGAAUGGAAUUGAAGCGUCUCUUGAUGUGUUUGGUCCUUUUGUGAAAUCUGGAUUCCUUUGCCAAGGCAAUUGCACCAGUAUUGUCACAAAAGAUUUUCAUUGGACCCGAUGCACUAGGUAUGACACCUAGAUCGGAUAUGAACUCCUUCAUCCAGACUCCUUCGUUCGUUGCUUCCGAAGCAGCUUUGUACUCCGCUUCACAUGUAGAUCCCGCUACGACGCUUUGUUUAGAACUGCACCAACUGACAGCUCCACCGUUUAAUGUAAACACGUAUCCGGUUUGCGAUUUAGAAUCGUCCGGAUCAGUGUCAAAGCUUACAUCAACGUAACCUUUUACGGUGAGCUCUUUGUCACCUCCAUAUACGAGAAACAUAUCCUUAGUCCUUUUCAGGUAUUUCAGGAUGUUCUUGACCGCUGUCCAGUGAUCCACUCCUGGAUUACUUUGGUACCUCCCUGCUAAACUUAUAGCAAGGCACACAUCAGGUCUGGUACACAGCAUUGCAUACAUGAUAGAGCCUAUGGCUGAAAUAUAGGGAACAUCUUUCAUUUUCUCUCUAUCUUCUGCAGUGGUCGGGCAUUGAGUCUGACUCAACUUCACACCUUGUAACACAGGCAAGAACCCUUUCUUUGCUUGAUCCAUUUUGAACUUCUUCAAAAUCUUGUCAAGGUAUGUGCUUUGUGAAAGUCCAAUUAAGCGUCUCGAUCUAUCUCUAUAGAUCUUUAUGCCUAAUAUGUAAGCAGCUUCACCGAGGUCUUUCAUUGAAAAACUCUUAUUCAAGUAUCCCUUUAUGCUAUCCAGAAAUUCUAUAUCAUUUCCAAUCAGCAAUAUGUCAUCCACAUAUAAUAUCAGAAAUGCUACAGAGCUCCCACUCACUUUCUUGUAAAUACAGGCUUCUCCGAAAGUCUGUAUAAAACCAAAUGCUUUGAUCACAUUAUCAAAACGUUUAUUCCAACUCCGAGAGGCUUGCACCAGUCCAUAAAUGGAUCGCUGGAGCUUGCACACUUUGUUAGCUCCCUUUGGAUCGACAAAACCUUCCGGUUGCAUCAUAUACAACUCUUCUUCCAGAAAUCCAUUCAGGAAUGCAGUUUUGACAUCCAUCUGCCAAAUUUCAUAAUCAUAAAAUGCGGCAAUUGCUAACAUGAUUCAGACAGACUUAAGCAUCGCUACGGGUGAGAAGGUCUCAUCGUAGUCAACCCCUUGAACUUGUCGAAAACCUUUUGCGACAAGUCGAGCUUUGUAGACAGUAACAUUACCAUCAGCGUCAGUCUUCUUCUUGAAGAUCCAUUUAUUCUCAAUUGCUUGCCGAUCAUCGGGCAAGUCAACCAAAGUCCAUACUUUGUUCUCAUACAUGGAUCCCAUCUCAGAUUUCAUGGCUUCAAGCCACUUUGCGCAAUAUGGGCUCACCAUCGCUUCUUCAUAGUUCGUAGGUUCAUCAUGAUCUAGUAGCAUGAUUUCCAGAACAGGAUUACCGUACCACUCUGGCGCGGAUCUUACUCUGGUUGAUCUACGAGGUUCAGUAGUAUAUUGAUCUGAAGUUUCAUGAUCAUCAUCAUUAGCUUCCUCACUUAUUGGUGUAGGUGUCGCAGAAACAGUUUUCUGUGAUAUACUACUUUCCAAUAAAGGAGCAGGUACAGUUACCUCGUCAACUUCUACUUUCCUCCCACUCACUUCUUUCAAGAGAAACUCCUUCUCUAAAAAGGAUCCAUACUUAGCAACGAAUGUCUUGCCUUCGGAUCUGUGAUAGAAGGUGUACCCAACAGUCUCCUUUGGGUAUCCUAUGAAGACACAUUUCUCCGAUUUGGGUUCGAGCUUAUCAGGUUGAAGCUUUUUCACAUAAGCAUCGCAGCCCCAAACUUUAAGAAACGACAACUUUGGUUUCUUGCCAAACCACAGUUCAUAAGGCGUCGUCUCAACGGAUUUUGAUGGUGCCCUAUUUAACGUGAAUGCGGCCGUCUCUAAAGCAUAACCCCAAAACGAUAGCGGUAAAUUAGUAAGAGACAUCAUAGAUCGCACCAUAUCUAGUAAAGUACGAUUACGACGUUUGGACACACCAUUACACUGUGGUGUUCCGGGUGGCGUGAGUUGCGAAACUAUUCCACAAUUUUUCAAAUGUACACCAAACUCAUAACUCAAAUAUUCUACUCCAUGAUCAGAUCGUAGAAACUUUAUUUUCUUGUUACGAUGAUUUUCAACUUCACUCUGAAAUUCUUUGAACUUUUCAAAUGUUUCAGAUUUAUGUUUCAUUAAGUAGAUAUACCCAUAUCUGCUUAAAUCAUCUGUGAAGGUGAGAAAAUAACGAUACCCGCCACAAGCCUCAAUAUUCAUCGGACCACAUACAUCGGUAUGUAUGAUUUCCAACAAAUCUGUUGCUCUCUCCAUAGUACCGGAGAACGGUGUUUUAGUCAUCUUGCCCAUGAGGCAUGGUUCGCAAGUACCAAGUGAUUCAUAAUCAAGUGGUUCCAAAAGUCCAUCAGUAUGGAGUUUCUUCAUGCGCUUUACACCGAUAUGACCUAAACGACUGUGCCACAAAUAAGCUGCACUUUCAUUAUCAACUCUGUAUCUUUUGGCUUCAACAUUAUGAAUAUGUGUAUCACUACUAUCGAGAUUCAUCAAAAAUAGACCACUCUUCAAAGGUGCAUGACCAUAAAAGAUAUUACUCAUAUAAAUAGAACAACCAUUAUUCUCUGAUUUAAAUGAAUAACCGUCUCGCAUCAAACAAGAUCCAGAUAUAAUGUUCAUGCUCAAUGCUGGCACCAAAUAACAAUUAUUUAGGUCUAAUAUUAAUCCCGAAGGUAGAUGUAGAGGUAGCGUGCCGACCGCGAUCACAUCGACUUUGGAACCGUUUCCCACGCGCAUCGUCACCUCGUCCUUUGCCAGUGCCCGCUUAUUCCGUAGUCCAUGUUUCGAGUUGCAAAUAUUAGCAACAGAACCAGUAUCAAAUACCCAGGUGCUACUGCGAGCUCUAGUAAGGUACACAUCAAUAACAUGUAUAUCACAUAUACCUUUGUUCACCUUGUCAUCCUUCUUAUCCGCCAAAUACUUGGGGCAGUUCCGCUUCCAGUGACCAGUCUGCUUGCAGUAGAAGCACUCAGUUUCAGGCUUAGGUCCAGACUUGGGUUUCUUCUCCUGAGCAGCAACUUGCUUGCUGUUCUUCUUGAAGUUCCCCUUCUUCUUCCCUUUGCCUUUUUUCUUGAAACUAGUGGUCUUGUUAACCAUCAACACUUGAUGCUCCUUCUUGAUUUCUACCUCCGCAGCUUUCAGCAUUGCGAAGAGCUCGGGAAUAGUCUUGUUCAUCCCUUGCAUAUUAUAGUUCAUCACGAAGCUCUUGUAGCUUGGUGGCAGUGAUUGGAGAAUUCUGUCAAUGACGCAAUCAUCCGGAAGAUUAACUCCCAAUUGAAUCAAGUGAUUAUUAUACCCAGACAUGUUGAGUAUAUGCUCACUGACAGAACUGUUCUCCUCCAUCUUGCAGCUAUAGAAUUUAUUGGAGACUUCAUAUCUCUCAAUCCGGGCAUUUGCUUGAAAUAUUAACUUCAACCCCUGGAACAUCUCAUAUGCUCCAUGACGUUCAAAACGUCGUUGAAGUCCCGAUUCUAAGCCAUAAAGCAUGGCACACUGAACUAUCGAGUAGUCAUCAGCUUUGCUCUGCCAGACGUUCAUAACAUCUGGUGUUGCUCCAGCAGCAGGCCUAGCACCCAGCGGUGCUUCUAGGACGUAAUUCUUCUGAGCAGCAAUGAGGAUAAUCCUCAAGUUACGGACCCACUCCGUGUAAUUGCUACCAUCAUCUUUCAACUUUGCUUUCUCAAGGAACGCAUUAAAAUUCAACGGAACAACAGCACGAGCCAUCUAUCUACAAUCAACAUAAACAAGCAAGAUACUAUCAGGUACUAAGUUCAUGAUAAGUUUAAGUUCAAUUAAUCAAAUUACUUAAGAACUCCCACUUAGAUAGACAUCCCUCUAAUCCUCUAAGUGAUCACGUGAUCCAAAUCAACUAAACCAUAACCGAUCAUCACGUGAGAUGGAGUAGUUUUCAAUGGUGAACAUCGUUUAUGUUGAUCAUAUCUACUAUAUGAUUCACGCUCGACCUUUCGGUCUCCGUGUUCCGAGGCCAUAUCUGCAUAUGCUAGGCUCGUCAAGUUUAACCUGAGUAUUCUGCGUGUGCAAAACUGGCUUGCACCCGUUGUAGAUGGACGUAGAGCUUAUCACACCCGAUCAUCACGUGGUGUCUGGGCACGCCGAACUUUGGCAACGGUGCAUACUCAGGGAGAACACUUCUUGAUAAUUUAGUGAGAGAUCAUCUUAUAAUGCUACCGUCAAUCAAAGCAAGAUAAGAUGCAUAAAAAGAUAAACAUCACAUGCAAUCAAUAUAAGUGAUAUGAUAUGGCCAUCAUCAUCUUGUGCUUGUGAUCUCCAUCUCUGAAGCACCGUCAUGAUCACCAUCGUCACCGGCGCGACACCUUGAUCUCCAUCGUAGCAUCGUUGUCGUCUCGCCAAUCUUAUGCUUCCACGACUAUCGCUACCGCUUAGUGAUAAAGUAAAGCAUUACAUCGCGAUUGCAUUGCAUACAAUAAAGCGACAACCAUAUGGCUCCUGCCAGUUGCCGAUAACUCGGUUACAAAACAUGAUCAUCUCAUACAAUAAAAUUCAUCAUCAUGCCUUGACCAUAUCACAUCACAACAUGCCCUACAAAAACAAGUUAGACGUCCUCUACUUUGUUGUUUGCAAGUUUUACGUGGCUGCUACGGGCUUAAGCAAGAACCAAUCUCACCUACGCAUCAAAACCACAACGAUAGUUUGUCAAAUAGACUCCGUUUUAACCUUCGCAAGGACCGGGCGUAGCCACACUCGGUUCAACUAAAAUUGGAGAGACAGUCGCCCGCAAGCCACCUAUGUGCAAAGCACGUCGGGGAAACCGGUCUCGCGUAAGCGUACGCGUAAUGUUGGUCCGGGUCGUCUCGUCCAACAAUACCGCUGAACCAAAGUAUGACAUGCUGGUAGGCAGUAUGACUUAUAUCGCCCACAACUCACUUGUGUUCUACUCGUGCAUAUAACAUCAAACCAUAAAACCAAGCUCGGAUACCACUGUAGGGGAACGUAGUAAUUUCAAAAAAAUUCCUACGCACAUGCAAGAUCAUGGUGAUGCACAGCAACGAGAGGGGAGAGUGUUGUCUAUGUACCAACGCAGACCGACUGCGGAAGCGAUCACACAACAUAGAGGAAGUAGUCGUACGUUUUCCCGAUCCGACCGAUCCAAGCACCGUUACUCCGGCACCUCCGAGUUCUUAGCACACGUACAACUCGAUGACGAUCCCCGGGCUCCGAUCCAGCAAAGCGUCGGGGAAGAGUUCCGUCAGCACGACGGCGCGGUGACGAUCUUGAUGUUCUACCGUCGCAGGGCUUCGCCUAAGCGCCGCUACAAUAUGAUCGAGGUGGAAUAUGGUGGCAGGGGGCACCGCACACGCUUAUGGAACGAUCAUGGGGAUCAAUUGUGUGUCUAGAGGUGCCCCCUGCCCCUGUAUAUAAAGGAGCAAGGGGGGAGAGGUGCGGCCAGCCUUGGGGCGCGCCAGGAGGAGUCCUACUCCCUCUGGGAGUAGGAUUCCCCCCCCCCCAAUCCUAGUUGGAAUAGGAAUCCUCAAGGGGGGGAAGAGAGAGAGGGGGGCCGGCCACCUCUCCUAGUCCUAAUAGGACUAGGGGAGGGGGGAGGCGCGCGGCCACCUUGGGCUGCCCCUUUCUCCUUUCCACUAAGGCCCAUGAAGGCCCAUAUGGCUCCCGGGGGGUUCCGGUAACCUCCCGGUACUCCGGUAAAAUCCCGAUUUCACCCGAAACACUUCCGAUAUCCAAAUAUAGGCUUCCAAUAUAUCAAUCUUUAUGUCUUGACCAUUUCGAGACUCAUCGUCAUGUCCGUGAUCACAUCCGGGACUCCGAACAACCUUCGGUACAUCAAAAUGCAUAAACUCGUAAUAACUGUCAUCGUAACGUUAAGCGUGCGGACCCUACGGUUCGAGAACAAUGUAGACAUGACCGAGACACGUCUCCGGUCAAUAACCAAUAGCGGGACCUGGAUGCCCAUAUUGGCUCCUACAUAUUCUACGAAGAUCUUUAUCGGUCAGAUCACAUAACAACAUACGUUGUUCCCUUUGUCAUCGGUAUGUUACUUGCCCGAGAUUCGAUCGUCGGUAUCCAAUACCUAGUUCAAUCUCGUUACCGGCAAGUCUCUUUACUCGUUCUGUAAUACAUCAUCCUGCUACUAACUCAUUAGUUGCAAUGCUUGCAAGGCUUAUGUGAUGUGCAUUACCGAGAGGGCCCCAGAGAUACCUCUCCGACAAUCGGAGUGACAAAUCCUAAUCUCGAAAUACGCCAACCCAACAUCUACCUUUGGAGACACCUGUAGAGCUCCUUUAUAAUCACCCAUUUACGUUGUGACGUUUGGUAGCACACAAAGUGUUCCUCCGGUAAACGGGAGUUGCAUAAUCUCAUAGUCAUAGGAACAUGUAUAAGUCAUGAAGAAAAGCAAUAGCAACAUACUAAACAAUCGGGUGCUAAGCUAAUGGAAUGGGUCAUGUCAAUCAGAUCAUUCAACUAAUGAUGUGACCUCGUUAAUCAAAUAACAACUCUUUGUUCAUGGUUAGGAAACAUAACCAUCUUUGAUUAACGAGCUAGUCAAGUAGAGGCAUACUAGUGACACUCUGUUUGUCUAUGUAUUCACACAUGUAUUAUGUUUCCGGUUAAUACAAUUCUAGCAUGAAUAAUAAAUAUUUAUCAUGAUAUAAGGAAAUAAAUAAUAACUUUUAUUAUUGCCUCUAGGGCAUAUUUCCUUCACCACGAUGAUCUCAUCGGAUGAACCACGAUGUUGAGGAUUCAAUCAAUCCCGUAUUCAAUUCCCUUUGUCUAGCAGUAUUGUACUUGCCCGAGAUCCGAUCGUCGGUAUCUGAUACCUUGUUCAAUCUCGUUACUGGCAAGUCUCUUUACUCAUUCCGUAACACAUCAUCCUGUGAUCAACUCCUUGGUCACAUUGCGCAUAUGAUGAUGUCCUACCGAGUGGGCCCAGAGAUACCUCUCCGUCACACGGAGUGACAAAUCCCAGUCUCGAUUCGUACCAACCCAACAGACACUUUCGUAGAUACCCGUAGUGUACCUUUAUAGCCACCCAGUUACGUUGUGACGUUUGGCACACCCAAAGCAUUCCUACGGUAUCCGGGAGUUGCACAAUCUCAUGGUCUAAGGAAAUGAUACUUGACAUUAGAAAAGCUUUAGCAUACGAACUACACGAUCUUUAUGCUAGGCUUAGGAUUGGGUCUGGUCCAUCACAUGAUUCUCCUAAUAAUGUGAUCCCGUUAUCAACGACAUCCAAUGUCCAUGGUCAGGAAACCGUAACCAUCAAUUGAUCAACGAGCUAGUAAACUAGAGGCUUACUAGGGACAUGGUGUUGUCUAUGUAUCCACACAUGUAUCUGAGUUUCCUAUCAAUACAAUUAUAGCAUGGAUAAUAAACGAUUAUCAUGAACAAGGAAAUAUAAUAAUAACCAAUUUAUUAUUGCCUCUAGGGCAUAUUUCCAACACAAUCGCGACGUCACGAAAAUAGUUCUUGCAACAUGAUUUUUGUUAAAAAAAUCCACAACAUGGUCUUUGUUACAAAAAAUAUGCAGUCGUUUCGCAACAAGAUCUCUAUUACAAAAAAAUGGCAACAUGAUUUGUGGCGAAAAAAACUUCGAGACGCUUAUGCAACAUGGUCUCUGUUGAAAAAAAUGGAACAUAACCUCUGCUGCAACACAAUCUAUAUUGCAAAUGUUUCUGCAAUAUUAGCACAGUUGCAGUGGUGGUCGCCGUCAGCCACCUGAGGGCUCACGACCUGGCGGGUCUUUUAAAAAGAUCAGUCGAUGGCCGCGUACUACACCCUGUAAAAUUCCGUCGAUCUACUCUCGUCGCAUUUUCUCUACUUCUAAUGUCUCAGUUGGUUGAAUAGUACCACUGUUUAUUUUCGUCUGGUUAUAUUUCGUCAGGUUUAUUUUUGUCUGGUUUAUCUUUGUCUCACAUCCCACCACCAUAUCUCCUCACGUUGAUUUUUUUACCCUCACAAUAAAAACUUUCCUAACCUUUUCAAAGUUUCCUAACUAGACACGUUAUAAACGGACAGGAACCGAUAGCACGUUACCAAUAAAAACUUUCCUAACCUUUUCACCUUUCCUAACUAUCCAUGUUACAAACCGGCAGGAACCAAUAGCAUGACCAAACAAUAAAAUCCAGUUUUCUGGUAAUUAAUUCCAAAUCUCAAUUUUCCUAACGCAACGAUUCGUACUCUCCUAGCAAUUAAGUAGAGUAUGCGGUGACAAUUUGUCUCGUUUUUUUCCUAUCCAUCCCAAAAAAUCAACAUUCAACCUACCGUGUUUCUGUAUGGAAGAUAUCCUAGACAAAUAGGACGUGAUCGUAGUCUGAUUUGAUUGCACAUGACGCGGCACACUUCAUAAAAGGAGCGUCGCACGCAUUCCCCGCCAGACUUCAUGGCGCCUCCCGUCCUCCAUGUCUACUGCCAGACCACGCAAUACCUUCUCCCAUUCUCCAGCGGUUCCGCAUCCCUGCAACACCAACAGGCUCGCAGCCUCCCAGUCGAUGAUCCUCCGUCAUAGUUUUCGACCCCUCCUUGCACCCCGCCAGCGCAACACCCGCUGCCCCGCUUGCACAUGUCGGCGUUGGUUAGCAUCUAUCUCGCUUAUCCCGGGGCGGAGCUCGCCCCAUCGUUGUCGGUGCCAUGGCCAUCUUGCACAUGGAGCCACCUCCGCCGCCAUCCACCAGCGUCGACGACGAGCGCGACCCCGAGUACUGAGAGGCUAUGCGAGGGCGAUGAGGCCGAAGAGUCCAAGUUUGUCCCUUGGCCGCCACCCUUCCUCUCGCACGCGACCACUGCACCAUCUCGCUUGCACGAGCACGACAACCCCCGCUACCAUCCCUCGAACGACGCCCUAUCCUCGCCUCCGGCUGUCUCCUGAAUCCCCCCACCAUGCCGCCUCACCUCGCCUACUCACUUGCACCUGGCAACCGCCGACGCCGGAUCUCGUCUCCAUGGUCAGCGUCGUCGGUCACCUCCCGCUGCCCAGCCACUUCCAUCUUCUCAAAGAAGCCGCCAGUCCUCCAUCUUCUCAAAGAAGCCAAUGGCACUUGGCUCUUGCUGCCGAGUACGCACCUCCCCAUGUCCGGCCGGUGGCAGCAUGUCGAAUUGGUCGCCAUACCACCGAGUAGCCAAUGGUAACUGCCUGGAGUGCCUUUCUUUGCCCGAAGAUCUCAUUUCCGAUCUGGAUUCCAGCAACUAUGGGGCACAAUAAUCGCCGCUUUUGUCUGCAUAACCUUGCCAUUAAUCCAAGUAAGCACUCCUUUUUUGCUUGUUAUAUGUACCAUGUGAUAGUUGCUUGAUUGCUUUUGUUGUUGUUGGCAUUGGUUAUCAUGGGAGAGUUGGAGAGAGCACAUGGAUAAGCAGCUCGCCCGCUUCCUGAACCAAACUUUUGAUUUUGAAUGAACAGUUGUUCUCUGUUCUCAGGCUUUCUUUUGAUUUUAGGUCUGUAUGUAUGAAUAGUAGUGUUUGCUCGAUGCUGAUUGGUAUAAGGACUAAAGGAUGUAUGUAGCUUUUUUAUCUGUCGGACAAUUGGAUGUUUCACACUAACAUAAUUGAGUGAGUCUUGGUAUUCAGGACAAAGUUAUUAACAAAGGUUGACUUAGCUAGGUCCUGCAGAUGCAAAAUACAGUAUGCGAGACGAUUAGAUUAUCAUUUUUUUUCAAAAGGGGGAGAUCCCCGGCCUCUGCAUCAGAAUGAUGCAUACGGCCACAUUUAUUAUGAAGUAAAUCAGUUCAACAAAGGUCUCAAAGUCUCAAGCAAAAGAACAAAAGAUGCUCAUAAAGAGCUAAAGAGUACAAAUAAAGCCACAACCGGCUGGCAAAAGAAAGAUAGGAAAACUAAUUGACUAUCUUAUUACAUGACCGCCAUCCAAACCGGUUGAAAAUAGCCCGUGCUACCAUCUCCCAUCGGAUAGAUCCAGUAACCAAACGCUCCCUGGCCUCCGUCGGAGUGAGUAGCGACCACAUACGGAUCAACGCAGUGGCACGGAAGGUAACCUGCAAAAAAUGAGUAUUUGUUAUUCUGUUAGAGACCAAAUCAUUUCUGCAAUUCCAGAUAGCCUAUAAUAAAGCACAUACUCCUACACGAAUAUGUCUCGCUGUUUCGGAAUCUAUCCCAUCAAGCCACGUCCCAAAUAACAUGUUGAUAUUAUUCGGAGGAGCAAUAUUAAAGGCUAUGUGAACUGACCGCCACAAAAUUUUUGCCAACGGGCAAUCAAGAAAGAGGUGUCUGAUGGAUUCAUCCCGAUCACAAAAACUACAUCUAGUAGAUCCAGUCCAGUUGCGUUUUACCAAGUUAUCCUUAGUUAAAAUGACUUGUUUGUGUACAAACCACAAAAACACUUUAACUCUCAAGGGUACUUUGACAUACCAAACAUGUUUCGAAGUAGGAAUAGAGCUAGAAUUAAUAACAUCCAGAUACAUGGAUUUAACCAUAAACUCUUCAUUCCUAGUUAGCUUCCAACACAACUGAUCGGGUCAUUGAUAAAGCUGAACAUCCAUCAAUCUUCUCACAAGAUGGAGUCAAGCUUCCCAACGGUUUCCGGCUAGCGCUCUCCUCAAGUGAAUAUUGAGAGGCGUGGACUGAAACACUGUCUCAACGGAUGCGUCUCUCUGUUGAACAAUGCUAUAAAGAGAAGGAUAUUGAAGCGGGAGGGGUGUGUCCUGAAGGAAAUAUGCCCUAGAGGAAAUAAUAAAGUUAUUAUUUAUUUCCUUAUUUCAUGAUAAAUGUUUAUUAUUCAUGCUAGAAUUGUAUUAACCGGAAACAUAAUACAUGUGUGAAUACAUAGACAAACAGAGUGUCACUAGUAUGCCUCUACUUGAGUAGCUCGUUGAUCAAAGAUGGUUAUGUUUCCUAACCAUAGACAUGAGUUGUCAUUUGAUAAACGGGAUCACAUCAUUAGGAGAAUGAUGUGAUUGACUUGACCCAUUCCGUUAGCUUAGCACUUGAUCAUUUUAGUUUACUGCUAUUGCUUUCUUCAUGACUUAUACAUGUUCCUAUGACUAUGAGAUUAUGCAACUCCCGAUUACCGGAGGAACACUUUGUGUGCUACCAAACGUCACAACGUAACUGGGUGAUUAUAAAGGUGCUCUACAGGUGUCUCCGAUGGUACUUAUUGAGUUGGCAUAGAUCGAUAUUAGAAUUUGUCACUCCGAUUGUCGGAGAGGUAUCUCUGGGCCCUCUCAGUAAUGCACAUCACCAUAAGCCUUGCAAGCAAUGUAACUAAUGAGUUAGUUGCGGGAUGAUGCAUUACCGAACGAGUAAAGAGACUUGUUGGUAACGAGAUUGAACUAGGUAUUGAGAUACCGACGAUCGAAUCCCGGGCAAGUAACAUACCGAUGACAAAGGGAACAACGUAUGCUGUUAUGCGGUUCGAUCGAUAAAGAUCUUCGUAGAAUAUGUAGGAGCCAAUAUGGGCAUCCAGGUUCCGCUAUUGGUUAUUGACCAGAGAAGUGUCUCGGUCAUGUCUACAUAGUUCUCGAACCCGUAGGGUCCGCACGCUUAACAUUCGUUGACGAUAUAGUAUUUAUGAGUUAUGUAUGUUGGUAACCGAAUGUUGUUAGGAGUUCCGGAUAAGAUCACGGACAUGACGAGGAACUCUGGAAUGGUCCGGAGAUAAAGUUUGAUAUAUGGGAUAAUAGUGUUUGGUCUCCGGAAGGGUUCCGGAAUUCACCGGAAGGGGUUCCGGAUGUUUCCCGAAAUGUUUGGGUAUGAGAACACUUGAUUUGGGCCAAUGGGGAAAGCCCACAAGGUUUUUGGAAAGCGCAAAAAGGAAGUUUUGCGGAGUCCAGGGGCCAGAUGUCAGGGUCCCUGGCGUCUGGGUCCAGACGCCGGGAACCCUGGCGUCUGGCCCUGGAGUUCGAGAAGGACUCUUGCCUUUCGGGUGAAACCGACUUUGUGGAGGCUUUUACUCCAAGUUUCGACCCCAAGGAUCAACAUAUAAAUAGAGGGGUAGGGCUAGCACCCAAGACACAUCAAGAAACACCAAGCCGUGUGCUGGCAACCCAGUCCCCUCUAGUUUAUCCUCCGUAAUAGUUUUCGUAGUGCUUAGGCGAAGCCCUGCGGAGAUUGUUCUUCACCAACACCAUCACCACGCCGUUGUGCUGCCGGAACUCAUCUACUACUUCGCCCCUCUUGCUGGAUCAAGAAGGCGAGGACAUCAUCGAGUUGAAUGUGUGCUGAACGCGGAGGUGCCAUACGUUCGGUACUUGAUCGGGACAGAUCGUGAAGGUGUACAACUACCUCAACGGCGUUGAUAAACGCUUCCGCUUUCGGUCUACGAGGGUACGUAGAUAUACUCUCCCCUCUCGUUGCUAUGCAUCACCAUGAUCUUGCGUGUGUGUAGGAUUUUUUUUGAAAUUACUACGUUCCCCAACAGUGGCAUCUGAGCCAGGUUUAUGCAUAGAUGUUAUAUGCAUGAGUAGAACACCAGUGAGUUAUGGGCGAUACAAGUCAUACUGCUUACCAGUAUGUCAUACUUUGGUUUGGCGGUAUUGUUGGAUGAAGCGACCCGGACCGACAUUAGGCGUACACUUACGCGAGACUGGUUCUACCAACGUGCUUUGCACACAGGUGGCUGGCCGGUGUCAGUUUCUCUAACUUUAGUUGAACCGAGUGUGACUACGCCCGGUCCUUGUUGAAGGUUAAAACAACACUAACUCGACGAAAUAUCGUUGUGGUUUUGAUGCGUAGGUAAGAACGGUUCUUGCUCAACCCAUAGCAGCCACGUAAAACUUGCAACAACAAAGUAGAGGACCGUUUUUGCAGGGCAUGUUGUGAUGUGAUAUGGUCAAGGCAUGAUGCUAUAUUUUAUUGUAUGAGAUGAUCAUGUUUUGUAACAGAGUUAUCGGCAACUGGCAGGAGCCAUAUGGUUGUCGCUUUAUUGUACGCAAUGCAAUCACCCUAUAAUUGCUUUACUUUAUCACUAAGCGGUAGCGAUAGUCGUAGAAGCAAUAGUUGGCGAGACAAAAACGAUGCUACGAGGAGAUCAAGGUGUCGCGUCGGUGACGAUGGUGAUCAUGACGGUGCUUUGGAGAUGGAGAUCAUGGGCACAAGAUGAUGAUGGCCAUGUCAUAUCACUUAUAUUGAUUGCAUGUGAUGUUUUAUUCUGCUUGAUUGAUGGUAGCAUUAUAAGAUGAUCUCUCACUAAAUUUCAAGGUACAAGUGUUCUCCCUGAGUAUGCACUGUUUCCAAAGUUCGUCGUGCCGAGAUACCACAUGAUGAUCGGGUGUGAUAAGCUCUACGUUCACAUACAACGGGUGCAAGCCAAUUUUGCACACGCAGAAAUACUCGGGUUAAACUUGACGAGCCUAGCAUAUGCAGAUAUGGCCUCGGAACACUGAGACCGAAAGGUCGAGCGUGAAUCAUAUAGUAGAUAUGAUCUACAUAGUGAUGUUCACCAUUGAAAACUACUCCAUUUCACGUGAUGAUCGGUCAUGGUUUAGUUGAUUUGGAUCACGUAAUCACUUAUAUGAUUAGAGGGAUGUAUAUCUAAGUGGGAGUUCUUAAAUAUGAUUAAUUGAACUUUAAUUUAUCAUGAACUUAGUACCUGAUAGUACCUGGAGAGAGUGUUGUACCCCAGCAUAAGCUGGUGGUUGCUGACUUCCGCUUUCGGAUUCGUCUCUAGCGGGAUAAGAGUGCCAAAGUCGCUAGAACGAAUUGGUGGAAGCUCAAGGGGGAGGCAGCUCAGGUGUUCAAGGAGAGGGUCAUUAAGGAGGGCCCUUGGGAGGAAGGAGGGGAUGCGGACAAUGUGUGGAUGAAGAUGGCGACUUGCAUUCGUAAGGUGGCCUCGGAGGAGUUUGGAGUGUCCAGGGGAAGGAGAAGCGAAGAUAAGGAUACCUGGUGGUGGAAUGAUGAUGUCCAGAAGGCGAUUAAAGAGAAGAAAGAUUGCUUCAGACGCCUAUACCUGGAUAGGAGCGCAGACAACAUAGAUAAGUACAAGAUGGCGAAGAAGGCCGCAAAGCGAGCUGUUGGUGAAGCAAGGGGUCGGGCAUAUGAGGAGCUCUACCAACGGUUAGGCACGAAGGAAGGUGAAAGGGACAUCUAUAAGAUGGCCAAGAUCCGAGAGAGGAAGACGAGGGAUAUUGGCCAAGUCAAAUGCAUUAAGGACGGAGCAGGCCAACUCUUGGUGAAGGACGAGGAGAUUAAGCAUAGAUGGUGGGAGUACUUCGACAAGCUGUUCAAUGGGGAGAAUGAGAGUUCUACCAUUGAACUGGGAGACUCCUUUGAUGAGACCAGCAUGCGUUUUGUGCGGCGAAUCCAGGAGUCUGAGGUGAAGGAGGCUUUAAAAAGGAUGAGAGGAGGCAAGGCGAUGGGCCCUGAUUGUAUCCCCAUUGAGGUGUGGAAAGGUCUCGGGGACAUAGCGAUAGUAUGGCUAACCAAGCUUUUCAACCUCAUUUUUCGGGCAAACAAGAUGCCAGAAGAAUGGAGACGGAGUAUAUUAGUACCAAUCUUCAAGAACAAGGGGGAUGUUCAGAGUUGUACUAAUUACUGUGGAAUUAAGCUGAUGAGCCAUACAAUGAAGCUAUGGGAGAGAGUCAUUGAGCACCGCUUAAGAAGAAUGACAAGCGUGACCAAAAAUCAGCUUGGUUUCAUGCCUGGGAGGUCGACCAUGGAAGCCAUUUUCUUGGUACGACAACUUAUGGAGAGAUAUAGGGAGAAAAAGAAGGACUUGCAUAUGGUGUUCAUUGACUUGGAGAAGGCCUAUGAUAAGAUAUCGCGGAAUGUCAUGUGGUGGGCCUUGGAGAAACACAAAGUCCCAGCAAAGUACAUUACCCUCAUCAAGGACAUGUACAAUAAUGUUGUGACAAGUGUUCGAACAAGUGAUGUUGACACCGAUGACUUCCCGAUUAAGAUAGGACUGCAUCAGGGGUCAGCUUUGAGCCCUUAUCUUUUUGCAUUGGUGAUGGAUGAGGUCACAAGGGAUAUACAAGGAGAUAUCCCAUGGUGUAUGCCCUUUACUGAUGAUGUGGUGCUAGUUGACGAUAGUCGGACGGGGGUAAAUAGGAAGUUAGAGUUAUGGAGAUAAACCUUGGAAUCGAAAGGGUUUAGGCUUAGUAGAACUAAAAGCGAGUACAUGAUGUGCGAUUUCAGUACUACUAGGUGUGAGGAGGAGGAGGUUAGCCUUGAUGGCCAGGUGGUACCUCGGAAGAACACCUUUCGGUAUUUGGGGUCAAUGUUGCAGGAGGAUGGGGGUAUUGAUGAAGAUGUGAACCAUCGAAUCAAAGCCGGAUGGAUGAAGUGGCGCCAAGCUUCUGGCAUUCUCUAUGACAAGAGAGUGCCACAAAAGUUAAAAGGCAAGUUCUACAGGACGGCGGUUCGACCCGCAAUGUUGUAUGGCGUGGAGUGUUGGCCGACUAAAAGGCGACAUGUUCAACAGUUAGGUGUGGCGGAGAUGCGUAUGUUGAGAUGGAUGUGUGGCCACACGAGGAAGGAUCGAGUCCGGAAUGAUGAUAUACAAGAUAGAGUUGGGGUAGCACCAAUUGAGGAGAAGCUUGUCCAACAUCGUCUGAGAUGGUUUGGGCAUAUUCAGCACAGGCCUCCAGAAGCUCCAGUGCAUAGCGGACGGCUAAAGCGUGCGGAGAAUGUCAAGAGAGGGUGGGGUAGACCGAGUUUGACAUGGGAGGAGUCCGUUAAGAGAGACCUGAAGGAUUGGAGUAUCACCAAAGAGCUAGCUAUGGAUAGGGGUGCGUGGAAGCUUGCGUGGAAGCUUGCUAUCCAUGUGCCAGAGCCAUGAGUUGGUUGCGAGAUCUUAUGGGUUUCACCUCUAGCCUACCCCAACUUGUUUGGGACUAAAGGCUUUGUUGUUGUUAUUGUUGUUGUUGUUGUUGUUGUUGUUGUUGUUGUUGUUGUUGUUGUUUAUGUUGUUGUAGAUAGAUGGCACAUGUUGUUGUUCCGUUGAAUUUUAAUGUGUUCCUUGAGAAAGCAAAGUUGAAAGAUGAUGGUAGCAAUUACACGGACUGGGUCCGUAACUUGAGGAUUAUCCUCAUUGCUGCACAGAAGAAUUACGUCCUGGAAGCACCGCCAGGUGCCAAACCCGCUGCAAGAGCAACGCCAGAUGUUAUGAACGUCUGGCAGAACAAAGCUGGUGACUACUCGAUAGUUCAGUGUGCCAUGCUUUAUGGCUUAGAACCGGGACUUCAACAACGUUUUGAACGUCAUGGAGCAUGUGAGAUGUUCCAGGAGUUGAAGUUAAUAUUUCAAGCAAAUGCCCAGACUGAGAGAUAUGAAGUAUUCAAUAAGUUCUACAACUGCAAGAUGGAGGAGAAUAGUUCUGUCAGUGAACAUAUACUCAGAAUGUCUGGGUACCAUAACCACUUGACUCAACUGGGAGUUAAUCUUCCUGUUAAUGUGUCAUUAACAUAGUUCUUCAAUCACUGCCACCAAGCUACAAGAGCUUCAUGGUGAACUAUAAUAUGCAAGGGAUGGAUAAGACGAUUCCCGAGCUCUUCGCAAUGCUAAAAGCUGCGGAGGUAGAAAUCAAGAAGGAGCAUCAAGUGUUGAUGGUCAAUAAGACCAUCAGUUUCAAGAAAAACGGUAAAGGGAAGAAGAAAGGGAACUUUAAGAAGAACGACAAACAAGUUGCUGCUCAAGAGAAGAAACCCAAGUCUGGACCUAAGCUUGAGACUGAGUGCUUCUACUGCAAAGGGACUGGUCACUGGAAGCAGAACUGCCCCAAGUAUUUGGCAGAUAAGGAGGAUGGCAAGGUGAACAAAGGUAUAUGUGAUAUACAUGUUAUUGAUGUGUACCUUACUAAAGCUCGCAGUAGCACCUGGGUAUUUGAUACUGGUUCUGUUGCUAAUAUUUGCAACUCGAAACAUGGACUACAGAUUAAGCGAAGAUUGGCUAAGGACGAGGUGACGAUGCGCUUGGGAAAUGGUUCCAAAGUCGAUGUGAUCGCCGUCGGCACCCUACCUCUACAUCUACCUUCAGGAUUAGUUUUAGACCUGAAUAAUUGUUAUUUGGUGCAAGCGUUGAGCAUGAACAUUAUGUCUGGAUCUUGUUUGAUGCGAGACAGUUAUUCAUUUAAAUCAGAGAAUAAUGGUUGUUCUAUUUAUAUGAUUAAUAUCUUUUAUGGUCAUGCACCCUUGAAGAGUGGUCUAUUUUUAAUGUAUCUCGAUAGUAGUGAUACACAUAUUCAUAAUAUUGAAGCUAAAAGAUGCAGAGUUGAUAAUGAUAGUGCAACUUAUUUGUGGCACUGAUAUGUCUCCAACGUAUCUAUAAUUUUUGAUUAUUCCAUGCUAUUAUAUUAUCAACUUUGGAUGUUUAUGGGCUUUAUUAUACACUUUUAUAUUAUUUUUGGGACUAACCUAUUAACCCAGAGCCCAGUGCCAAUUCCUGUUUUUCCCCUUGUUUCAGUGUUUCACGGAAAAGGAAAAUCAAACGGAGUCCAAUUGACCUGAAACUUCACGGAACUUAUUUUUGGAUCAGAAGAAGCCCAGAAGACUUGAAGUGCACGUUAGGGGAUCAACGAGGAGGCCACGAGGUAGGGGGGCGCGCCCACCCCCCUGGGCACGCCCUCCACCCUCGUGCCCCCCCUGACGCACUUCUUCCUCCUAUAUAUCUCCAUAUACCCUAAAACGAUCGGGGAGCACAAUAGAUCGGGAGUUCCGCCGCCAGAAGCCUCCAUAGCCACCGAAAGCCAAUCUAGACCCGUUCCGGCACCCUGCCGGAGGGGGAAUCCCUCUCCGGCGGCCAUCUUCAUCAUCCCGGUGCUCUCCAUGACGAGGAGGGAGUAGUUCUCCCUCGGGGCUGAGGGUAUGUACCAGUAGCUAUGCGUUUGAUCUCUCUCUCUCUCUCGUGUUCUUGAGGUGAUACGAUCUUGAUGUAUCGCGAGCUUUGCUAUUAUAGUUGGAUCUUAUGAUGUUUUCUUCCCCCUCUACUCUCUUGUAAUGGUUUGAGUUUACUCUUUGAAAUUAUCUUAUCGGAUUGAGUCUUUAAAGAUUUGAGAACACUUGAUGUAUGUCUUGCCGUGCGUAUCUGUGGUGACAAUGGGAUACCACGUGAUUCACUUGAUGUAUGUUUGAUACGUCCAUUUUGCAUCAUGCUUUUAUAUCGAUAUUUAUUGCAUUAUGGGCUGUUAUUUCACAUUAUGUCACAAUACUUAUGGCUAUUCUCUCUUAUUUUACAAGGUUUACAUAAGGAGGGAGAAUCCCGGCAGGUGGAAUUCUGGGCUGGAAAAGGAGCAAAUAUUAGAGACCUAUUCUGCACAACUCCAAAAGUCCUGAAACUCCACGGAACACCUUAUAAUAAAUAAUGAAGAAUCCUCGCCAAAGAUGAAGACCAGGGGGCCCACACCCUUCUCACGAGGGUGGGGGUGCCCCUGCCUCGUGGGCCCUCUGGUGGCUCUCCGAUGACCAUCUUCUCCUAUAUGAAGUCUUUCGUCGAGAAAAAAAAAGAAGCAACCUUUCGGGAGAAACUCCGCCGCCAUGAGGCGGAAGCUUGGCGAGUCCAAUCUAGAGCUCCGGCCGAGCUGUUCUGUCGGGGAAACUUCCCUCCCGGAGGGGGAAUCAUCGCCAUCGUCAUCACCAACGCUCCUCUCAUCUGGAGAGGGCAAUCUCCAUCAACAUCUUCAUCAGCACCAUCUCAUCUCAAAACCCUAGUUCAUCUCUUGUAUCCGAUUCUUGUCUUCAAGUCCAGGAUUGGUGCUAGUAGGUUGCUAGUAGUGUUAAUUACUCCUUGUAGUUGAUGCUAGUUGGUUUAAUUGGUGGAAGAUCAUAUCUUCAGAUUCUUUAUGCAUAUUAAUACCCCUCUGAUUAUGAACAUGAAUAUGCUUUGUGAGUAGUUACGUUUGUUCCUGAGGACAAGGGAGAAGUCUUGCUAUUAGUAGUCAUGUGAAUUUGGUAUUCAUUCGAUAUUUUGAUGAGAUGUAUGUUGUCUAGCCUCUAGUGGUGUUAUGUGAACGUUGACUACAUAAUACUUCACCAUUAUUUGGGCCUAGAGGAAGGCAUUCGGAAGUAAUAAGUAGAUGAUGGGUUGCUAGAGUGACAGAAGCUUAAACCCUAGUUUAUGCGUUGCUUCGUAAGGGGCUGAUUUGGAUCCAUAUGUUUCAUGCUAUGGUUAGGUUUACCUUAAUACUUUUGUUGUAGUUGUGGAUGCUUGCAAUAGAGGUUAAUCAUAAGUGGGAUGCUUGUUCAAGUAAGAACAUCACCCAAGCACCGGUCCACCCACAUAUCAAAUUAUCCAAGUACCGAACGUGAAUCAUAUGAACGUGAUGAAAACUAGCUUGACGAUAUUCCCAUGUGUCCUCGGGAGCGCUUUUCCUUAUAUAAGAGUUUGUCCAUGCUUGUCCUUUGCUACAAAAAGGAUUGGGCCACCUUGCUGCACUUUAUUUACUUUUGUUACUUGUUGCUCGUUACAAAUUAUCUCAUUACAAACUAUCUGUUACCACUUAUUUCAGUACUUGGAGAGAAUACCUUGCUGAAAACCGUUUAUCAUUUCCUUCUGCUCCUCGUUGGGUUCGACACUCUUACUUAUCGAAAGGACUAUGAUAGAUCCCCUAUACUUGUGGGUCAUCAAGACUCUUUUCUGGUGCCGUUGCCGGGGAGUGAAGUGCCUUUGGUAGGGAAAAAUUUAUAUAGUGUGCUGAAAUUUACUGUCACUUGUUACUAUGGAAAGUAAUCCUCUGAGGGGCUUGUUCGGGGUAUCUUCACCCCGACCAGUAGAGCACAUAGUUUCUCCUCAACCUACUGAACCUAUUGAAAAUGAAAUUCCUUAUGAGUAUCCUUCGAGUAUAAUAGAAAAACUGCUAGCUAAUCCUUUUACAGGAGAUGGAACAAAGCAUCCUCAUGAACACCUAAUAUAUGUGGAUGAAGUUUGUGGAUUAUUUAAGCUUGUAGGUAUUUCCGAUGAUGUUGCUAAGAAGAAGGUAUUCCCUUUAUCUUUGAAGGGAGACACAUUGACAUGGUAUAGGCUAUGUGAUGAUAUGGGAUCAUGGAACUAUAGAAGGUUGGAAUUGGAAUUUCAUCAAAAGUAUUACCCUAUGCAUCUUGUUCAUCGUGAUCGCAAUUAUAUAUAUAAUUUUUGGCCUCGUGAAGGAGAAAGCAUCGCUCAAGCUUGGGGGAGGCUUAAAUCAAUGUUAUAUUCAUGCCCCAAUCAUGAUCUUCCAAGAGAAACAAUUCUUCAAAAAAUUUAUGCUCGGCUUUCUGAUAACAAUCGCACCAUGCUUGAUACUUCUUGUGAUGUCUCUUUUAUGAUGAAGACUAUUGGAUUUAGAUGGGAUUAAUUGGAUAGAAUUAAACGCAACUCUGAAGAUUGGGACCUCGACAAUGGUAAGGAGUCAGGUAUGACACCUAAGUUUGAUUGUGUUAAAUCUUUCAUGGAUACCGAUGUUUUCCGUAAGUUUAGCACUAAAUAUGGACUUGAUUCUGAGAUAGUAGCUUGUUUCUGUGAAUCUUUUGCUACUUAUGUUGAUCUCCCUAAGGAGAAGUGGUUUAAAUAUCAUCCUCCCAUAGAAGUAAAAGUAGUUGCACCUAUUAAAGUUGAAGAAAAGAAUGUCACUUAUAAUGAUCCUAUUGUUCCUACUUAUGUUGAGAAACCACCUUUCCCUGUUAGGAUAAAGGAUCAUGCUAAAGCUUCAACUGUAGUUCGUAAAAGUAAUAUUAAAACAUAUACACCUCCUGAGCAAGUUAAAGUUGAACCUAAUAUUGCUAUUGUUAAAGAGCUCUUGUCUGAUAAUAUUGAUGGGCAUGUUAUUCAGUUAUGCGGUGAAACUGCUAGAAUUGCUAAACCUUGUGCUAAAGAUAAACAUAGACCUGUGGUAGGUGUGCCUGUUAUUUCUGUUAAAAUAGGAGAUCAUUGUUAUCAUGGCUUAUGUGAUAUGGGUGCUAGUGCUAGUGUUAUACCUUAUGACUUGUAUAAAGAAAUCAAGCAUGAAAUUGCACCUGUUGAGUUAGAAGAUAUUGAUGUCACAAUUAAACUUGCUAAUAGAGAUACUAUUUCAGCAAUGGGAAUUGUUAGAGAUGUUGAAGUCUUGUGCGGGAAAACUAAAUAUCCUGCUGAUUUUCUUGUUCUUAGUUCUUCACAAGAUAACUUUUGUCCCGUUAUAUUUGGUAGACCCUUCUUGAAUACAGUUAAUGCUAGGAUAGACUGCGAAUAGAAUGUUGUUACUAUUGGCUUGGAUGAUAUGACUCAUGAGUUUAAUUUCUCUAAAUUUAGUAAACAACACCGUGAAGAAGAAUUGCCUAGUAAGGAUGAAAUUAUUGGUCUUGCUUCUAUUGUCGUACCUCCUAAUGAUCCUUUAGAACAAUAUUUGCUAGACCAUGAGAAUGAUAUGUUUAUGAAUGAAAGAAGGGAAAUAGAUGAAGUAUUCUUUAAACAAGAACCUAUGCUAAAACACAAUUUGCCUGUUGAAAUCCUAGGGGAUCCUCCUCCACCUAAGGGUGAUCCCAUGUUUGAGCUUAAACCGUUGCCUGAUAAUCUUAAAUAUGCUUAUCUUGAUGAAAAGAAGAUAUAUCCUGUUAUUAUUAGUGCUAACCUUUCAGAGCAUGAAGAAGAAAGAUUAUUGAAAACUCUGAAGAAGCACCGUGCUGCUAUUGGAUAUACUCUUGAUGAUCUUAAGGGCAUUAGUCCCACUCUAUUUCAACAUAAAAUAAAUUUGGAAGCAGAUGCCAAACUAGUUCGUGAUCCUCAACGAUGUCUGAAUCCUAAAAUGAAAGAAGUGGUAAGAAAAGAAAUACUAAAGCUUCUAGAGGCAGGUAUAAUUUAUCCCGUUGCUGAUAGUCAGUGGGUAAGUCAUGUUCAUUGUGUCCCUAAGAAGGGAGGUAUUACUGUUGUUCCUAAUGAUAAAGAUGAAUUGAUUCCAUAAAGAAUUAUUACCGGUUAUAGGAUGGUAAUUGAUUUCCGCAAAUUAAAUAAGGCUACUAAGAAAGAUCAUCACCCCUUAUCUUUUAUCGAUCAAAUGCUAGAAAGAUUAUGCAAACAUACACAUUACUGCUUUCUAGAUGGUUAUUCUGGUUUCUCUCAAAUACCUGUGUCGGCUAAAGAUCAAUCAAAGACUACUUUUACAUGCCCUUUUGGUACUUUUGCUUAUAGACGUAUGCCUUUUGGUUUAUGUAAUGCAUCUGCUACCUUUCAAAGAUGCACGAUGGCUAUAUUCUCUGACUUUUGUGAAAAGAUUUGUGAGGUUUUCAUGGAUGACUUUUUCGUCUAUGGGUCUUCUUUUGAUGAUUGCUUGAGCAAUCUUGAUCGAGUUUUGCAGAGAUGUGAAGAAACUAAUCUUGUCUUGAAUUGGGAAAAGUGCCACUUUAUGGUUAACGAAGGUAUUGUCUUGGGGCAUAAAGUUUCUGAAAAAGGUAAUGAAGUUGAUAAAGCCAAGGUUGAUGCUAUUGAAAAGAUGCCAUGUCCCAAGGACAUCAAAGGUAUAAGAAGUUUCCUUGGUCACGCCGGAUUUUAUAGGAGGUUCAUCAAGGACUUCUCAAAAAAAUUUCAGCCUCUGACUAAUUUAUUACAAAAAGAUAUACCAUUUGUCUUUGAUGAUGAUUGUGUAGAAGCAUUUGAAAUACUUAAGAAAGCAUUAGUCUCUGCACCUAUUGUUCGGCCACCUGAUUGGAAUUUACCCUUUGAAAUUAUGUGUGAUGCUAGUGAUUAUGCUGUAGGUGCUGUUUUAGGGCAAAGAGUUGAUAAGAAACUAAAUGGUAUCCAUUAUGCUAGUAAACUCUAGACAAUGCUCAAAGAAAUUAUGCUACCACUGAAAAAGAACUUUUAGCAGUUGUAUUUGCUUGUGAUAAGUUCAGACCUUAUAUUGUUGAUUCUAAAGUAACUAUCCACACUGAUCAUGAUGCUAUUAAAUAUCUUAUGGAAAAGAAAGAUGCUAAACCUAGACUUAUCAGAUGGGUUCUCUUGCUACAAGAAUUUGAUUUGCAUAUUGUUGAUAGAAAAGGAGCUGAAAACCCCGUUGCAGACAACUUAUCUAGGUUAGAGGAUGUUCUUGAUGACCCACUAACUAUUGAUGAUAGUUUUCCUGAUGAACAAUUAAAUGUCAUAAGUACUUCUCGUAGUACCCCUUGGUAUGCUGAUUAUGCUAAUUACAUAGUUGCUAAAUUUAUACCACCUAGCUUCACAUACCAACAAAAGAAAAAGUUCUUCUAUGAUUUGAUACAUUACUUUUGGGAUGACCCACAUCUUUAUAAAGAAGGAGUAGAUGGUAUUAUUAGACGUUGUGUACCUGAGCAUGAACAUGAACAGAUCCUACGUAAGUGCCACUCCGAAACUUAUGGAGGACACCACACGGGAGAUAGAACUGCACAUAAGGUAUUGCAAUCCGGUUUUUAUUAACCUACUCUCUUCAAGGAUGCCCGUAAGUUUGUCCUAUCUUGUGAUGAAUGUCAAAUAAUUGGUAAUAUUAGUAGACGUCAAGAAAUGCCUAUGAAUUAUUCACUUGUUAUUGAACCGUUUGAUGUUUGGGGCUUUGAUUAUAUGGGACCUUUUCCUGCCUCUAAUGGAUAUACACAUAUUUUAGUUGCUAUUGAUUAUGUUACUAAGUGGGUAGAAGCUAUUCCAACUAGUCAUGCUGAUCAUAACACUUCUAUUAAAAUGCUUAAAGAAGUUAUUUUUUCCGAGGUUUGGAGUCCCUAGAUAUUUAAUGACUGAUGGUGGUUCACAUUUUAUUCAUGGUGCUUUCCGUAAAAUGCUUGCUAAAUAUGACGUCAAUCAUAGAAUUGCAUCUCCGUAUCACCCACAGUCUAGUGGUCAAGUAGAAUUGAGUAAUAGAGAACUCAAAUUAAUUUUGCAAACGAUUGUCAAUAGGUCUAGAAAGAAUUGGUCCAAGAAACUUGAUGGUGCAUUAUGGGCCUAUAGAACUGCAUAUAAAAAUCCUAUGGGUAUGUCUCCGUAUAAAAUGGUAUAUGGAAAAGCAUGUCACUUACCUCUCGAACUAGAACAUAAGGCAUAUUGGGCUAUUAAAGAGCUCAACUAUGAUUUCAAACUUGCUGGUGAAAAGAGGUUAUUUGAUAUUAGCUCACUUGAUGAAUGGAGAACCCAAGCUUAUGAAAAUGCCAAGUUGUUUAAAGAAAAGGUUAAAAGAUGGCAUGACAAAAGGAUACAAAAGCGUGAGUUUAAUGUAGGUGAUUAUGUAUUGCUAUACAACUCUCGUUUAAGAUUUUUUGCAGGGAAACUUCUCUCUAAAUGGGAAGGCCCCUAUGUUAUCGAGGAGGUCUAUCAUUCUGGUGCCAUAAAAAUCAACAACUUCGAAGGCACAAAUCCGAAGAUGGUAAACGGUCAAAGAAUCAAACAUUAUAUCUCAGGUAAUCCCAUAAAUGUUGAAACCAAUAUUAUUGAAACCGUAACCCCGGAGGAAUACAUAAGGGACACUUUCCAGAACGUUUCAGACUCCGAAAAGGAAUAGGUAUGUGGUACGGUAAGUACACCGACUCCAAAACAAUUUUUAAGGCAAUAUUUCUCUGUUUUGGAAUAUUUAGAAAAAUAGAAAAUUAAGUAGCAGUCCGGGAAGGACACGAGGGCCUCACGAGGGUGGAGGGCGCGCCCCCUACCUCGUGAGCUCCUCGUGUGCCUUCCGGACUCCGUUUUCUUGCACGAUACGUAUUUUGGUCGGUAAAAAUUAACUAUAUAAUAUUCCGGGGUUUUUGACUCCCGUAUCACGCAAAAAUCUCUUCUCUUUGUUUCGAGCUAUUUUCUGUUAGGGUUUUCAAGACCAGGCACUAUGUCGUCUCCCUCCUCCUCCAACCAUGAGGGCAAUGAUGCUUGGCUAAUGAAGAUAGAGCUAAAGAGAGAAGAACCUAUGGAUAUCAAUAAGGAUGAAGGGAUCAAGAAGGCCGUGGAGGACCAAGUCCCAGCAACAGAAGACACCCUUCAACUGGAUCAUAAUCUUCUUAUCCCUACAAAAAUCGAAGCUUUCAAGAUGAUUGAGUUGGCUCGUAUACAAAAUAAGUAUCUCACACGUGAAAAUAUUUUGUUGAAGGAGCAUAUCCUCGCACUCAAGGGCAUUAUCCGCAAGUUAGAAGACCUCCUACGCUCGAUGUGCGACUAUCCAUCAUCAACAAUACCUCCACCUUAUUCACCAACCAAGGAGAUAUAAUAACAUGGGUAUGGGCACUCCCCUUGGCAACCGCCAAGCUUGGGGGAGGUGCCCCGGUAUCGUAUCACCCUCACCUUUAUCUUUACCGUUUUCCUUAGUUCGAUCCUGUUGGAAAUAUGCCCUAGAGGCAAUAAUAAAUUGGUUAUUUCCUUGUUCAUGAUAAUCGUUUAUUAUCCAUGCUAUUAUUGUAUGGAUAGGAAACUCAGAUACAUGUGUGGAUACAUAGACAACACCAUGUCCCUAGUAAGCCUCUAGUUGACUAGCUCGUUGAUCAAUUGAUGGUUACGGUUUCCUGACCAUGGACAUUGGAUGUCGUUGAUAACGGGAUCACAUCAUUAGGAGAAUCAUGUGAUGGACAAGACCCAAUCCUAAGCCUAGAACAAAGAUCGUGUAGUUCGUAUGCUAAAGCUUUUCUAAUGUCAAGUAUCAUUUCCUUAGACCAUGAGAUUGUGCAACUCCCGGAUACCGUAGGAAUGCUUUGGGUGUGCCAAACGUCACAACGUAACUGGGUGGCUAUAAAGGUACACUACGGGUAUCUCUGAAAGUGUCUGUUGGGUUGGCACGAAUCGAGACUGGGAUUUGUCACUCCGUGUGACGGAGAGGUAUCUCUGGGCCCACUCGGUAGGACAUCAUCAUAUGCGCAAUUUGACCAAGGAGUUGAUCACGGGAUGAUGUGUUACGGAACGAGUAAAGAGACUUGCCAGUAACGAGAUUGAACAAGGUAUCGGAUACCGACGAUCGAAUCUCGGGCAAGUACAAUACCGCUAGACAAAGGGAAUUGAAUACGGGAUUGGUUGAAUCCUCGACAUCAUGGUUCAUCCGAUGAGAUCAUCGUGGAACAUGUGGGAGCCAACAUGGGUAUCCAGAUCCCGCUGUUGGUUAUUGGCCGGAGAGGUGUCUCGGUCAUGUCUGCAUGGUUCCCGAACCCGUAGGGUCUACACACUUAAGGUUCGAUGACGCUAGGGUUAUAGGGAAUAGAUAUACGUGGUUACCGAAUGUUGUUCAGAGUCCCGAAUGAGAUCUCGGACAUCACUAGGAGUUCCGGAAUGGUCCAGAGGUAAAGAUUUAUAUAUGGGAAGUCCUGUUUUGGUCACCGGAAAAGUUUCAGGUGCUAUCGGUAACGUACCGGGACCACCGGGAGGGUCCCGGGGGUCCACCAGGUGGGGCUACCUGCCCCAGAGGGCUGCGUGGGCCAAGUGUGAGAGGGGACCAGCCCCUGGUUGGCUGGUGCGCCCCCCCACCAGGGCCCAAGGCGAAGAGAGAAGAAAAAAAGGGGAAACCCUAGGCUCAGAUGGGCCUAAGGCCCACCUAGUGGUGCGCCCCCCUCUCUCCCCCCUUGGCCGCCCCCCCCCCCUAGAUGGGAUCUAGGGGUGGAAACCUAGGUGGGGGCGCAGCCCCUCCCUUUCCCCUAUAUAUAGUGGGGUUUUGGGCUGCCAUACACACGAGAACAUCUCCUUCUUGGCGCAGCCCUACCCCUCUCCCUCCUCGUCUCUUGCGGUGCUUGGCGAAGCCCUGCUGGAGUACCACGCUCCUCCACCACCACCACCACGCCAUCGUGCUGCUGCUGGACGGAGUCUUCCCCAACCUCUCCCUCUCUCCUUACUGGAUCAAGGCAUGGGAGACGUCACCGGGCUGCAUGUGUGUUGAACGCGGAGGUGCCGUCCGUUCGGCACUAGGAUCAUCGGUGAUUUGGAUCACGGCGAGUACGACUCCAUCAACCCCGUUCACUUGAAUGCUUCCGCUUAGUGAUCUACAAGGGUAUGUAGAUGCACUCUCCUUCCCCUCGUUGCUAGAUUACUCCAUAGAUUGAUCUUGGUGAUGUGUAGAAAAUUUUGAAUUUCUGCUACGUCACAACAGAUCCUAUUAGUAGUAUUUUUAUCUAGUAGUAUAAAGUUUAUGGCAUGAUCUAGUUGUGAGUUUUGCUUUAUUAUCCUUCUAUGUAAUCGAGUCCGUGAGCUAUAUAAUAAAGAUUAGUGUUGAGUCAAGGGCUUGAUUAUUUUGCCAUGAUCCUAAGUGAAUAAAAGAAAAGAGAAAGUAAUAAAAAGGAAACAAAGAGAUCAUAUGGAUCUCAUGGAGAGUAAUGAGCUCACAUAGAAAAAGUAUGAUGAAUAAAAGUUGUUGAGAGUUGACAAGCAUAGUUUUGGUCAUGGUUGCAAUCAAUAGGAAGUAAUAAAGAAAGAGAGGUCCUCACAUAUAGAUAUACUAUCUUGGACAUCUUUUAUGAUUGUGAGCACUCAUUAAAAUAUGACAUGCUAAAGAGUUGACAUUGGAUAAGGAAGACAACGUAAUGGGUUAUGUUUUCUUACAUCUGUGAUAAAUUAUAUUGUCUUGGAUCUUCCAACAUGUUGAGCUUGCUUUUCCCACUCAUGCUAGCCAAAUUCAUUGCACCAAGUAGAGAUACUACUUGUGCUUCCAAAUACCCUUAAACCAGUUUUGCCAUGAGAGUCCACCAUAUCUACCUAUGGAUUGAAUAAGAUCCUUCAAGUAAGUUGUCAUCGGUGCAAAGCAAUAAAAAUUGCUCUCUAAAUAUGUAUGAUUGAUUGGUGUGGGAGAAAUAAGCUUUAUACGAUCUUGUGAUGUGGAAGUAAUAAGAGUGACGGACUGCAUAAUAAAGGUUCAUAUCACAAGGGGCAAUAUAAAGUGACGUUCUUUCGCAUUAAGAUUUUGUGCAUCCAACCAUAAAAGCGCAUGGCAACCUCUGCUUCCCUCUGCGAAGGGCCUAUCUUUUAUCAUUACCUUCUACCUUAUGCAAGAGUCAUGGUGAUGCUCACCCUUCCUUUUUACACUUUAUCCUUUGGCAAGCACAGUAUGUUGGAAAGAUCCUAGUAUAUAUGGCUAAUUAGAUGUGAGUUUUCAUGAACUAUUACUGUUGACAUUACCCUUGAGGUAAAACGUUGGGAGGCAAGACUAUAAGCCCCUAUCUUUCUCUGUGUCCGAUUAAAACUCCAUACCCAUAAGUAUUGCGCGAGUGUCAGCAAUUGUGAAAGAUUAUAUGAUAGUUGAGUAUGUGGACUUGCUGAAAAGCUCUUAUACAUUGACUAUUUCCUAUGUUAUGAUAAACUGCAAUUGCUUCAAUGACCGAGAUUGUAGUUUGUUAGUUUUCAAUGAAGUUUACGAUUCAUACUUGAUAUUGUGAUUGAAUUACUCUAGCAUUAGAGAUCAUAUGACAAAAAUUAUAUAAGUUGCUGUUAUAAGAAUGAUCAUGAUGCCCUCAUGUCCGUAUUUUAUUUUUAUCGACACCUUCAUCUCUAAACAUGUGGACAUAUUUUUCGAUUUCGACUUUUCUCUUGAGGACAAGCGAGGUCUAAGCUUGGGGGAGUUGAUACGUCCAUUUUGCAUCAUGCUUUUAUAUCGAUAUUUAUUGCAUUAUGGGCUGUUAUUUCACAUUAUGUCACAACACUUAUGGCUUUUCUCUCUUAUUUUACAAGGUUUACAUAAGGAGGGAGAAUACCGGCAACUGGAAUUCUGGGCUGGAAAAUGAGCAAAUAUUAGAGACCUAUUCUGCACAACUCCAAAAGUCCUGAAACUCCACGGAACACCUUAUAAUAAAUAAUGAAAAAUCCUCGCCAAAGAUGAAGACCAUGGGGCCCACACCCUUCUCACGAGGGUGGGGGCGCCCCCCCCUAAGGCGCGCCCCCCUGCCUCGUGGGCCCCCUGGUGGCUCUCCGAUGACCAUCUUCUCCUAUAUGAAGUCUUUCGUCGAGAAAAAAAAUAAGAAGCAACCUUUCGGGACGAAACUCCGUCGCCACGAGGCGGAACCUUGGCGGAUCCAAUCUAGAGCUCUGGCAGAGUUGUUCUGCCGGGGAAACUUCCCUCCCAGAGGGGGAAUCAUCGCCAUCGUCAUCACCAACGCUCCUCUCAUCCGGAGAGGGCAAUCUCCAUCAACAUCUUCAUCAGCACCAUCUCAUCUCAAAACCCUAGUUCAUCUCUUGUAUCCAAUUCUUGUCUUCAAGUCCGGGAUUGGUGCUAGUAGGUUGCUAGUAGUGUUAAUUACUCCUUGUAGUUGAUGCUAGUUGGUUUAAUUGGUGGAAGAUCAUAUGUUCAGAUCCUUUAUGCAUAUUAAUACCACUCUGAUUAUGAACAUGAAUAUGCUUUGUGAGUAGUUAUGUUUGUUCCUGAGGACAAGGGAGAAGUCUUGCUAUUAGUACUCAUGUGAAUUUGGUAUUCGUUCGAUAUUUUGAUGAGAUGUAUGUUGUCUAGCCUCUAGUGGUGUUAUGUGAACAUCGACUACAUAACACUUCACCAUUAUUUGGGCCUAUAGGAAGGCAUUGGGAAGUAAUAAGUAGAUGAUGGGUUGCUAGAGUGACAGAAGCUUAAACCCUAGUUUAUGCGUUGCUUCAUAAGGGGCUGAUUUGGAUCCACAUGUUUCAUGCUAUGGUUAGGUUUACCUUAAUACUUUUGUUGUAGUUGCGGGUGCUUGCAAUAGAGGUUAAUCAUAAGUGGGAUGCUUGUUCAAGUAAGAACAGCACCCAAGCACCGGUCCACCCACAUAUCAAAUUAUCAAAGUACCGAACGCGAAUCAUAUGAAUGUGAUGAAAACUAGCUUGACGAUAUUCCCAUGUGUCCUCGGGAGCACUUUUCCUUAUAUAAACAUGCUUGUACUUUGCUACAAAAAGGAUUGGGCCACAUUGCUGCACUUUAUUUACUUUGUUACUUGUUGCUCGUUACAAAUUAUCUCAUUACAAAACUAUCUGUUACCACUUAUUUCAGUACUUGCAGAGAAUACCUUGCUGAAAACCGUUUGUCAUUUCCUUCUACACCUCGUUGGGUUCAACACUCUUACUUAUCGAAAGGACUACGAUAGAUCCCCUAUACUUGUGGGUCAUCAAUGUUUUGGUGAUCAACUUGCGGGUUCCGCCCAUGAACCUAUGCAUAGGGGUUGGCACACGUUUUCGUCGUGAUUCUCCGGUAGAAACUUUGGGGCACUCUUUGAGGUUCUAUGUGUUGGUUGAAUAGAUGAAUCUGAGAUUUUGUGAUGCAUAUCGUAUAAUCAUAACCACGGAUACUUGAGGUGACAUUGGAGUAUCUAGGUGACAUUAGGGUUUUGAUUGAUUUGUGUCUUAAGGUGUUAUUCUAGUACGACCUCUAGGGCUGUUUGUGACACUUAUAGGAAUAGCCCAACGAAUUGAUUGGAAAGAAUAACUUUGAGGUGGUUUCGUACCCUACCAUAAUCUCUUUAUUUGUUCUCCGCUAUUAGUGACUUUGGAGUGGCUCUUUGUUGCAUGUUGAGGGAUAGUUAUGUGAUCGAAUUAUGUUAUUAUUGUUGAGAGGACUUGCACUAGUGAAAGUAUGAACCCUAGACCUUGUUUCCUAUCAUUGGAAUACCAUUUAUGCUCACUUUUAUCAUUAGUUACCUUGCUAUUUUUAUAUUUUCAGAUUACAAAAAUCAUUAUCUACUAUCCAUAUACCACUUGUAUCACCAUCUCUUCGCCGAACUAGUGCACCUAUACAAUUUACCAUUGUAUUGGGUGUGUUUGGGACACAAGAGACUCUUUGUUAUUUGGUUGCAGGGUUGCUUGAGAGAGACCAUCUUCAUCCUACGCCUCCUACGGAUUGAUAAACCUUAGGUCAUCCACUUGAGGGAAAUUUGCUACUGUCCUACAAACCUCUGCACUUGGAGGCCCAACAACAUCUACAAGAAGAAGGUUGUGUAGUAGACAUCAAGCUCUUUUCUGGCGCCGUUGCCGGGGAGGUGAGUGCUUGAAGGUAUAUCUUUAGAUCUUGCAAUCGAGUCUUUUAGUUCCUUGUUUUAUCACUAGUUUAGUUUAUAAAAAUAAAAAAUAAAAAAUGGAAUUAAGUUUGCCUCAUACGCUUUAUCUUUUUAAUACCUAUCGUGAGAAUAAGGAUUACGAUAAUUGUGCUCAAGUGCUAGAAGAAGAAUGCAUUAGAAUGUUUGGCACUAAAUAUUUGAAUGAUGAGCAUGAUUGCGAUGAAUUCCUUGAAUAUCCAUGAUACUAAUGAUAUGCAAAGCCACAAGCUUGGGGAAGCUAUGCUUGAUGAGUAUGAUAUUUUUUGUCCCCCAAGUUUUGAUGAGUGAUACGUCUCCAACGUAUCUACUUUUCUAAACACUUUUGCCCUUGUUUUGGACUCUAAAUUGCAUGAUUUGAAUGGAACUAACCCGGACUAACGCUGUUUUUAGCAGAAUUACCAUGGUGUUAUUUAUGUGCAGGAGCAAACGUUCUCGGAAUGACCUGAAACUUUAUGGAGACACUUUUCAGAAAAUAAGAAAAAUACCUGCCAAAGAUGAAGGCCAGGGGGGUCACCACCUUGCCACGAGGGUGGGGGGCACGCCCCCCUACCUCGUGGGCCCCCUGUUGCCUCUCCGACUCCAACUCCACCUCCAUAUAUUGAGUUUCGGGGAUAAAAAAAUUAGAGAGAAGAAAUCAUCGUGUUUUACGAUACGGAGCCGCCGCCAAGCCCUAAAACCUCUCGGGAGGGCUGGUCUGGAGUCCGUUCGGGGCUCCGGAAAGGGGAAUCCGUCGCCAUAGUCAUCACCAACCAUCCUCUAUCACCAAUUUCAUGAUGCUCACCGCCGUGCGUGAGUAAUUACAUCGUAGGCUUGCUGGACGGUGAUGGGUUGGAUGGGAUCUAUCAUGUAAUCGAGUUAGUUUUGUUAGGGUUUGAUCCCUAGUGUCCACUAUGUUCUGAGAUUUAUGUUGCUAUGACUUUGCUAUGCUUAAUGCUUGUCACUAGGGCCCGAGUGCCAUGAUUUCAGAUCUGAACCUAUUAUGUUUUCAUCAAUAUAUGAGUGUUCUUGAUCCUAUCUUGCAAGUCUAUAGUCACCUAUUAUGUGUUAUGAUCAGUUAACCCCGAAGUGACAAUAAUCGGGAUACUUACCGGUGAUGACCGUAGUUUGAGGAGUUCAUGUAUUCACUAUGUGUUAAUGCUUUGUUCCGGUUCUCUAUUAAAAGGAGGCCUUAAUAUCCCUUGGUUUCCGUAAGGACCCCGCUGCCACGGGAGGGUAGGACAAAAGAUGCCAUGCAAGUUCUUUUCCAUAAGCACGUAUGACUAUAUUCAGAAUACAUACCUACAUUAUAUCAAUGAACUAGAGCUAGCUCUGUGUCACCCUAGGUUAUGACUGUUACAUGAUGAACCGCAUCCGGCAUAAUUCUCCAUCACCGAUCCAUUGCCUACGAGCUUUCCACAUAUUGUUCUUCGCUUAUUUACUUUCCCGUUGCUAUUGCUAUCAUCACUAUAAAAUACCAAAAACAUUACUUUUACUAUUGUUACUUUUUGCUACAGUUAUCACCACUAUCAUAUUACUUUGCUACCUUUGCUGCAGAUAUUAAGUUUCCAGGUGUGGUUGAAUUGACAACUCAGCUGCUAAUACCCGAGAAUAUUCUUUGGCUCCCCUUGUGUCGAAUCAAUAAAUUUGGGUUGAAUACUCUACCCUCGAAAACUGUUGCGAUCCCCUAUACUUGUGGGUUAUCAAUGAGUAAAUUUAUUAUGAUGAUAGCAUGCCUCCUAUUUAUGAUGAUUAUAUUGAUGAAAGUGGAUUUGGAGAGGUCAUGACUUUAUUUUGUGAUGAAUCCAUUAUUCCGGAAGAGGUUCCAAUUGAUUAUGAGAACAAAGUUGCUAUCUAUGAUGAUUAUUGUGAUGACUUGUAUGCUAUAAAGAAUAAUGAUAUCCAUAAAACUUGUCAUCAUGAUUUUAGUUUUCAAUUGGAUUAUGCCUCACACGAUAAUUAUUUUGUUGAGUUUGCUCCCACUACUAUUCAUAAGAAGAAUUUUGCUUAUGUGGAGAGUAAUAAAAUUUCUAUGCUUGUAGAUCAUGAAAAGAAUGCUUUAUGUGAUGGUUAUAUUGUUGAAUUCAUUUAUGAUGCUACUGAAAAUUAUUAUGAGGGAGGAAUAUAUGCUUGUAGGAAUUGUAAUAAUAUCAAGUUUCCUCUCUAUGUACUUAAAGUUUUGAAGUUAUGCUUGUUUCACCUUCCUAUGCAAGUUGAUUCUUGUUCCCACAAGUUGUUUGCUCACAAAAUCCUUAUGCAUAGGAAGUGGGUUAGACUUAAAUGUGCUAGUCAUAUUCUUCAUGAUGCUAUCUUAUGUUUCAAUUCUUAUAUUUUAUGUGAGCAUCAUUGAAAUCAUCAUGCCUAGCUAGGGGCGUUAAACGAUAGCGCUUGUUGGGAGGCAACCCAAUUUCAUUCCAGUUCUUUACUUUUUGCUCCUGUUUAGUAAUAAAUAAUUCAUCUAGACUCUGUUUAGAUGUGGUUUUAUGUUUUAAUUAGUGUUUGUGCCAAGUAGAACCGUUGGGAAGACUUGGGUGAAGUCUUUGCGAUCAUGCUGUAAAAAACCGAAACUUUAGCGCUCACGAGAAUUGCUCCCAUUUUUAUUUGGAGAGUGCUAUUUAGUUAAUUAUUUUUGCAGAUGAUUAAUAGAUAAAUUCCUCACCUCCAGAAAUUUAUUUGAGAAUUUUAUGAGUUCCAGAAGUAUACGUUUGAUCCAGAUUACUACAGACUGUUCUGUUUUUGACAGAUUCUGUUUUCAUUGUGUUGUUUGCUUAUUUUGAUGAAUCUAUGAGUAGUAUCGGAGGGUAUGAACCAUAGAGAAGUUGGAAUACAGUAGAUAUUACACCAAUAUGAAUUUAGAAUGAGUCCAUUACAGUACCUUAUGAUGGUGAUUUUCUUUCUUAUACUAACGGAGCUUACGAGUUUUCUGUUAAGUUUUGUGUUGUGAAGUUUUCAAGUUUUGGGUAAAGAUUUGAUGGACUAUGGAAUAAGAAGUGGCAAGAGCCUAAGCUUGGGGAUGCCCAGGAAGGCAUCUCCUCUUUCGUCUUCGUUCAUCGGUAACUUUACUUGGAGCUAUAUUUUUAUUCGCCACAUGAUAUGUGUUUUGCUUCGAGCAUCAUUUUAUUUUAUUUAGUUUUGCUUGUUGUUUGAAUAAAAUACCAAGAUCUGAAAUUCUUAAAUUGUUAGAGAGUCUUCACAUAGUUGCAUAAUCAUUCAACUACUCAUUGAGCUUCACUUAUAUCUUUCGGAGUAGUUUGUUGUUGCUCUAGUGAUUCACUUAUAUCUUUUUAGAGCACGGUGGUGGUUUUAUUUUAUAGAAAUAGAUGAACUCUCAUGCUUCACUUAUAUUAUUUUGAGAGUCCUAAACAGCAUGGUAAUUUGCUUUGGUUAUGAAUUUAGUCCUAAUAUGAUGGGCAUCCAAGAGGGAUAUAAUAAAAACUUUCAUAUAAAGUGCAUUAUAUACUAUGAGAAGUUUGAUACUUGAUGAUUGUUUUGAGAUAUGAGGAUGGUAAUAUUAGAGUCGUGCUAGUUGAGUAGUUGUGAAUUUGAGAAAUGCUUGUGUUGAAGUUUGUGAUUCCCGUAGCAUGCACGUAUGGUGAACAGUUAUGUGAUGAAGUCGGAGCAUGAUUUAUUUAUUGAUUGUCUUCCUUAUGAGUGGUGGUCGGGGACGUGCGAUGGUCUUUUCCUACCAAUCUAUCCCCCUAGGAGCAUGCGCUAGUACUUUGUUUCGAUAACUAAUAGAAUUUUGCAAUAAGUAUGUGAGUUCUUUAUGACUAAUGUUGAGUCCAUGGAUUAUACGCACUCUCACACUUCCACCAUUGCUAGCCUCUCUAGUACCGCGCAACUUUCGCCGGUACCAUAAACCCACAAUUUACCUUCCUCAAAACAGCCACCAUACCUACCUAUUACGGCAUUUCCAUAGCCAUUCCGAGAUAUAUUGCCAUGCAACUUUCCACUGUUCCAUUUAUUAUGACAUGCUUCAUCAUUGUCAUAUUGCUUUGCAUUAUCAUGUAGUUGACAUCGUAUUUGUGGCAAAGCCACCGUUCAUAAUUCUUUCAUACAUGUCACUCAUGAGUCAUUGCACAUCCCGGUACACCGCCGGAGGCAUUCAUAUAGAGUCAUAUUUUGUUCUAAGUAUCGAGUUGUAAUUCUUGAGUUGUAAGUAAAUAAAAGUGUGAUGAUCAUCAUUAUUAGAGCAUUGUCCCAAUGAGGAAAGGAUGAUGGAGACUAUGAUUCCCCCACAAGUCGGGAUGAGACUCCGGACAAAAUAAAAAUAAAAAAAGGCCAAAGAAGCCCAAAUAAAAAAAGAGAAAAAAAGAGGCCAUAAAAAAAGAGAGAAAGGCCCAAAUAAAAAAUAAAAUAAAAUAAAAAAUGAGAGAAAAAGAGAGAAGGGGCAAUGCUACUAUCCUUUUACCACACUUGUGCUUCAAAGUAGCACCAUGAUCUUUAUGAUAGAGAGUCUCCUAUGUUGUCACUUUCAUAUACUAGUGAGAAUCUUUCAUUAUAGAACUUGGCUUGUAUAUUCCAAUGAUGGGCUUCCUCAAAAUGCCCUAGGUCUUCGUUAGCAAGCGAGUUGGAUGCAUACCCACUAGUUUCUUUUGUUGAGCUUUCAUACAUUUAUAGCUCUAGUGCAUCCGUUGCAUGGCAAUCCCUACUCACUCACAUUGAUAUCUAUUAAUGGGCAUCUCCAUAGCCCAUUGAUACGCCUAGUUGAUGUGAGACUAUCUUCUCCUUUUUGUCUUCUCCACAACCACCAUUCCAUUCCACCUAUAGUGCUAUGUCCAUGGCUCACGCUCAUGUAUUGCAUGAAGAUUGAAAAAGUUUGAGAACAUCAAAAGUAUGAAACAAUUGCUUGGAGUACUUGGAGGACGACUCUACUACUUUACAAAAAAAAACCUCGGGGGCUCCCACGACCGCCAAGGCGAUCUGGCGGCGAUGACAGGUGAGACGACGGCCUCGACACCGGCAAAUCCGUUGGUGCAGAGGCGAUUGAUUCCUGGAGGGGGGCACGAGCUGGUUCUCUUCAGCGGGAGGGAGUGAGAGCAAAUCAAGGAAAGAUCGAGGCGGAUCUUUCGGGGAGCGACAGAUCGGGACCAAGUCUUGAUCCGGUCGAGAAAAAGAGCGAAGGAGAUAGCUGAUUUGUUGGCAGGUGAGAUUUCGUCGAGAUCAGGGGAGGUGAUUAGGAGAGGAGCGACCGCGCCCCUCGCGGGAUCGGAAGAGUGUAUCUCGCAGGGGGUGGGCGUGGUUUCCCCCGGUUCUUUAGAGAUAGUUUCAGUAGAUAAGGCUAGUUAUUUAUUCCUUCAGGAUUGUAGAAUUAGAUUGCAGCCGGGAUUGAAGGUUGUUUCAAUUUUGUUUCCUGCCUUUGGGGAUUCAUUUGAGGGAAAGGGAGGAAUUCUUGGAGCAGUUAUUAGGAAACUGCUCAUUCAUGGUUGUUUAUUCACUUUUAAUUACAUCAAUUUCGUUCCUGAGAUUGUUUGGGAAGGAUUUGUUGCUUGCUAUAUCUGGGGACUCGGGAGCGGCUGUCAUCCAUCUUCUCUUGAUCCCAAGCACACCCAUCUUCUCUCUGCACAGUCCACCUCUUGCCGUGAACUAGCCUAUACUAUGGCGGGACAGGGAGAGCUUGUGAGCAGUGAGGUGGGGAAGAAACCUGUGACUGUGGUGGGUUCCGGGGGGACGACGGCUGCAUCGACGGGUACUUGCUCCCAGCCGGCGCUCGACCAUGUUGGCUCCUCCUCCCACCUAGUGCCGCAUGUCCAGCCGAGUUCGAUGAUCCUGGGGCGUGGCCAGGGAGAGGGUCGUCCUCUCGUCAUUGACUUGGAGGCUGCCCGCAAGGCCGUCAGUGGAUUCCUAGUGGUGGGGUGCCUCCUCUCCCCUUUCCAGGUCAAUCCGAGGGUCAUUGUCGACGACCUCCAGAACACGGUCUAGAAGAACCAAGGGGAGUUCACCAUCCAAGAGGUGGACAGCGCGGACGGGAGGUUUAUCCUCAAUCUCGCUGCUGAAAGCGAUCGUCGAUUUGUGCUAAAGGCGCAACCUUGGCAUUUCAAGCGUGACGGUCUCAUCUUCGCCGAGUUCGACGGCAAGGGGGACCCAGCAGAGGUCGACCUUGGUGUCAUGGCCAUAUGGGUCCAGGUACGCGAUCUUCCAUUCGAGCUUAAGACUGAGAGUAUAGGGAGGUCUCUUGCAUGUGCAAUGCACGUCUUGCUUGCACAUGCAAAGGUAAAUAACGACAAACCAUGAUUAGAUCAAUGGUGGGCAUAGGGUCCAUUGAUUUCUCAAGAAACAUACUAUGAGCAGAAAAUAAAUGUAAUAUAAAUGAAUAAAGAAUUGGUAAGAAAAAAUAUGAUCCGAAUAAAGGUUGCAUUAUGAUGGAGAAAAAUGUAACAUAUGUUUUGGAUAACAGUGCCCAACCAUGUUAUGAGUUUCGUACAGGCACUUGAAAUUUGAUUGUGAGAUAUUCUCUAUUCCUAGUCGAUAAUGCAUAAAAAUACAACUGAAAAGGGAUAUAACAACCAAGCAAUAAUCAGCUUGGGCAACAUUAUCUCAUCUGUGUUGAGAUGUCUUCACCAAGAUUCCGUUCUCUGCUUUCUCUUUACCCAACUUAAUUACUGGAAAGGUAUUUGAGUUGCUCAUUGGUCAGCACACUACAUGGGAGAUCAAUAAUACUACCACUGUAAAUCACUAAAAGGAGAGGACACUUCGCAAACAUGUCUCAUAUUUCAGUAUACUACUUUAGUACUUACCGCAGGUGUGGGAAGAUGACAACAACAAUCAAAAAAAGGUUUCUUGUCCCUGUAAAAUCGGUGAAUUGUUAUAUCUUAAUCACAUAUUUGCUCCAUUCAGUUGAACUAAUUUUGACGAAGAUCAAUUUCAGGUCUAAAAUUUCAAGCCUAAUGAAAAACAAAAUGCAAUAGACAUAACUGAAUAAUGGGUACAUGAUAGUAGGUUAAAUAAGCCCAUACAACUUGUGGUCUAUGGAAAUAAGAAUUAGAAUUCAAGCUCAUACAAGUAAAUAAAUAGAUUAUCAAAAAGCUAUAUCGGGUUACAGAGCAACAAUAGUGCUACCAUGAGGUUGCAGUGAGGAAUAGUGGAAAAGGAAUAAAAAAAUUGUGUAAGCAUGAGAGCAAACUUCCUCCAAUAAUUUUUGUGUCAGUCACAUAGCAGGUGCAUUCCUGUUCUGAUUAAAUCAGAUAACCAAUGAUGGAAUAAUCCCAUUAAAGGGGAUAGUUGCAUUAUUGUUCAUGUUUUUCUUCACCGCAAAGAUCAUAUAUCUGAGUGUAGCCUCUGCAGCUAACUUUCAUCACCUCCCGGACCGUCAUGGUAGGUUGUUGAUAACAACAACAGUAACACAAUCGCCGCGAGAAAAAUGUGUGAUGUAGCACAAUGGUGACACCAACGCCUCCCGGCUGUGCCCAGCUGUGGCAACUGCCACACCCCACUGCCACCGGACGGCGCCUCCAUCCAGGAGUACACAAGUUACCCCACGCCAAGCGAGAUCUUUCAAAUCUUCUCUAUCAUUGUCAUUGCAAAAGGACUUUCAUCAGUGGCUCGCUGACAAUCUCCCCCAAACCCUACAAGAGAUUCAAGUAAGUUUAAACUUCCAUUUUGCACAUGUGCAAUUGAGUCACUCACCUUGCUAGAGUAGGUCAGAUCUAUUAUCCAUACCUAAGCCCUCCGAAUUAUUGUAUUUUCCUGGCCAGAUAAUGGAUCAACAAGCUUGUCCCUUCAUAUUGUCAAACACGGGCUGACUGGAUCAUCUACUUUGGUCAUUCAAAUUAUAAAACACAAUCAUGAUAUUGAAAUCUCAUCUCAUUCCAUCAUGUGAGCUUUUCCCAGUUUUUUUAAAGAGCUUUUCUUAGUUUUGGACAAACUGAAUGACGGUGAUGAUUUGUAUAUUGUAGCUUUUUCUUUCAUACGCUUCACUGGGUAGAUGGGAGAGCGCGCUGUGCCCUAUGUUCAACCCCAAAAAACUUGAUUCAAGGUUUGUAGGUCAUAGUAGUUGUCAUCACUCGCAAGCUUGCUUGUGCACUUUAAAAAACUGCAUGACGAAGCACAUCAAGAGCAGCAAAGGUGCUCUCAAGUUGUUAUGCAUAUCAUAUGGCACAUGUAGGACAACAAAAUGACAGUCAUCAAGGAAAAUAUAUAAUUACCAAAUCAACCCCAAAUCAGCACUCGCGUCUCCAUCUAUGUAUCAGACUACUUGGAACUGAACUGAAUGUAAAGCAAGAUUUAAGUGUUGACCAUUAGUCCUCAAUGUCCCAUGUGUUCUCCAUCCUGCUCCUGAUUUUACUGUCCUACUCUAGUUCGUAGUCUAAAUUUAGUUACUAGUUGCACUCACCCCUAAGUGAACACUAAAAGUUUUAACAGGAUAAAUCACACAGAUAUAUCAUUAAUUACCUUAGCCAAUAGAGUCCUGGAAUUGGGUCACAAGAUCCUGACAAAACUGACCGGAGUUUUCGUAGUUCUCUGAAACUUUUCAUGUCUGGUUCGCUACUACUCACAGUUCUUGGAUUAAAUAAGCCCCAUGAAAGCAAAUUUUCUUGGGGUAUACGACUGAAAAGAAGGUUGUAAAAUUCAUCAAAAUCAUCUAGAACAAAACAGUAUGACAUACUUUUUGCACAAGUACUGUAAAAACAAGUAUUACAUGUCCUAGCCUUUCUUUCUCAACAGUCUCUGGCUUGUACUGAAAAAACAGUAUGACGUACUUUUUUACUCCUACAACUACCUUCGUGAUGAUCCGAAGAAAGUGUCGCAGACACUAUGCACAUUUAUUUUGUUGGAUUGUGCAGAUCCAAUUGAGCAGUCCCUAAAGCUGGAAGGACUUGAGAGAAUUCAGUACACUAUUAUUAGGAGCCAACAAUUCCGUUUUAGAACACAAUUGCUAUAGAUAUAUGAUGCUGAAAAUUCCGUUCUUAAAAUAUCCUUCAUAUUUAAACUCGACAUAUCUAGAAAAUGAGAGCUUUGGCCUUCUUCUGUUAACAUGAAAGUAGCAGCUAGCAGCCAUGUUGCAACUCCAUAUUUUAGACGCUUUCAAUGAAUACACAAGACAUGCAAGGACCGCUCACAGUUUCAGCGGCAAUAUGAGCAAAACAAGUCAGCAAGCACAUAAUGAUUUCUAGGCUGAGAAGAGUGUAGAUAGACGUGCAUAACAAGUAUUCCUAUAUACGACCCUUCAGCACUUAUCUGCUUCUAAAACAAACCAUAUACUAAAAGCUGGAAUACAGAUCACGAAAAUGUUGCGAUAAUUCUGAUUUUUGCAGUUGACAGAACAAUAUUAGUAGAAGGUAAGUAGUAUUGUUCUGGAAAUUUAGUGAAACGGAAGCGUGAUUAGCAUAUCAAAAUACCGUAUUAAUCGACCCAUUGUAUCUGGAAGAAUAGGGCGGCAUGUCUCACAGGGUCAUCCAUGAUCGCAGUGGAUGUAAAUCGCUUGGUGAUCGAUGAUGAAAUGGGGCGAGAUGGAUGCACCCGAUGGACGUUUUGAGCACAGUACUUGACACAAUAGCCUUGAUCUUUGCGACCCCUCUCCAAAGCUGCCUUUCUAUCCUGAAAUCUCCCGAAAAAACCAAACUCUGAGACAGAUGGUAGCCGGUGAGGGGAACUGACCACAUGCUGCUGAAGUAAGCUUCUGCUUUUUAUGUUCUGAGAGGUCAAAUUUCAGGCUGGUUCUAGUGAUACUUAUCAGCCUAAAACUACUUGGUCACAUAUGGACAUGAAGUCCAACUGAUUGUCCGGUAGCUAAAUAGUUCAAACUUUUUCACUACACGGUUUGUGACUAAUAAGUCAGUCAUAUGUUAGUACUACACAGUGCUUAAUGACAUUUUAGUUUUUUUGCAAAAAAAAAAGAAUUAUAGCAAUUGGAGUUCACUUGUUCGUUUUUUCUAUAACUAAUGAGAAACAAAUAGGAUCUGCUUUCUUGCUAAAAAUUCUUUAAGCAAGGGAUCAACAUAGCUUCCGUCAAAUUCUAUGAAAUCAUAUGAUGCUAGAUAACAAUAACAGCAUCAAACUCUACAAAAUAAAUGCCUCGGCAUUUAAAAAAAUCCAUGAUGAGCUCAUUGAUGAGAAGCAGACAAACACUAUGCCAAUAAAUAAUUACCACUACCUAAGCAUCAUUGAGCUACAUACUAUGACACUCUUGUUUAUUCAGUAGAAGAGCAAGAAAAGUCUUCCUUUCAGCGUGAUAAUUGGAAAUAUUUCAGAUGCAGAAGAGUAGGAAAAGAAUUUACCAAUGGAUGAACAGUUUCAAUAUGAAAAUACUUAUGUGCAUUAUAAAGAUUAUUCAGUUUAUGGAACUUUAAAAAGUAAUAACAUGGCAAAAGCUUUUAUAUUGUCUUCAGAGGAUAAAACAACCAUGCAUGUUUGAAAAAAGUUCAGAAUCAAGUUGUAAACCAGAUACCUUUCUAGUUGCAAUACCUCCUUCAGCAUCCUCUUUCUUGUUGUAGGAAAAAAUAAGCUUGAAUAAUGAUCCAAGAGCAAAGGCGUUGGGACUAUCAGUGCCACCCAUCAGCAGCAUUGUCGACUUAUAUUUCUUCCUCAUUGGACCAUCACAUACUAUGUUCUUCUUAACUAUCACCUACUCAAGGCAGUUCUAGAGCUUUGCAUAUAAUUUCAUAUUAUUUCAACAUAAAUAGCACAACUUAUCAAAUAACCCAGUAUAAAGAGAUAUGCAUGAAUUUCAGCACAACACAAAGAUCUAAACUUCAUGCUUUUACAAGGGUAGUAGUAGAUGAACACUAUACCACUACAAUAACUGACAAUAGUAUCUGAAUUGUGGAGCACGACCACAAUGUUCAGAAAAGACGCAUGACAUUUACCUGAACAUGGAUAACCUGUUCGUCAAUCAAGAAGGCAUGUCUCUUCAGAGAAUAAUAUUCAGUUUCGCUGGUUAAAACUGCUUCUUGCUUUUAACUGCAUUUCACUCAAAUUAGCCUAACCUCAAAACUGAGGACAGAUCAGUCUACUGCUAUUGCAGCAAGCAAAAUGAAAUUCAUUCAAAAACAGAAGAUAACAUAGAGAGCAAGCAUGACAUGGUGGAUAAAAUGCGAUGGAUCGGUAGCUGGUACUCCCUCUGUAAACUACUCCCUCCGUCCCAAAAUUCUUGUCUUAGAUUUGUCUAAAUACGGAUGUAUCUAGUUACAUUUUAGUGUUAGAUACAUCUGUAUCUAGACAAAUGUAAGACAAGAAUUUUGGGACGGAGGGAGUAAUAUAAGAGCAUUUAGAUCACUAAUAUAAAACUGGUUCAAUGUGAUACGAAUUGCAACAGAUGUCAACACCUAUGAAGCUACAGACGGGCAACUCCCAGUUCAUUGAAGUAUACCACAACUGUAUAUAUACUGCUAAGGACAUACAGAGAUCAGAACCAAGAAUAGGAAGUGGUGGUAACCUGACUGUAGCUGCGACUGCGGCGGUUUCAAGAUGGCCUAGGCGAGGCGGCGGAGAACCGGCAGGCAUCGUGGGGAGUGUGGUCGCGAAGGGGCCAGCGGUGGGGUGUCGUGGUCGCUGUUCGGGGAUGGCCUGAAUUGGGAGAGGCGUGCGUUUGUGGAGUGCGAGUGGGGGUGGGCAGCAGCCGGCGUCACCGUGCGCGCCGCAAGGAAGCAGAACCCGGCGGCCACCUCGACCCUCCUCGCCGCCUUCCGUCUCCGCCUCCACCUCGACCGCGCGCACCGUAAUGAAGCAGAACCUGGCCUCCACCUCAACCCUCCGCACCGCAAGGAAGCAGGACCCGGCGGCCAUCUCGUUACUCCCCCGCCUCCGCCUCGCCGCCUUCCGGGACACCGCGCUCACCCUCCACCUCCUCGUGCGCGGAGGAGGAGGCCAAGCUGAGCGGCGGUGGCGGAGGAGGGCGAGGAUUUAGGGCGGCGGGUGGCGGCGGAGGCCGAGUGGAUAGGCGGGCGGCGGACGGGGCGGACGACGGGGGAGGAUCGGCGUCCGCUGGGAGGUGGAGCGGGCGAGGUCGUGGUGCAGGUGUGGUGCGGGCGUGGCGUGCGGAGCGGUUUUUGUUUUUCGAAGCAGCGGGUAGGAUUAGCGAUCGAUAGUGUGGGCGUGGCUUAAUUCCGUGGCUUGCAGCGUUAAACACGAAACGAUUAGGAGCCAUUAGAUUUUGAUGAUGGAUGGAUGUGAUUGUUUGGAUCUGCACCUCUCUUCCUUUUAUAGUGGUAGUAGAUUAUAUGUGGAUGACAUACUGUUGAUUGGAAAUGAUAUAGAAUUUCUGGAUAGCAUAAAAGAAUACUUGAAUAAGAGUUUUUCAAUGAAAGACCUCGGUGAAGCUGCUUAUAUAUAUAUAUUGGGCAUCAAGAUCUAUAGAGAUAGAUAAAGACGCUUAAUUGGACUUUCACAAAGCACAUACCUUGAUAAAGUUUUGAAGAAGUUCAAAAUGGAUCAAUCUAAGAAAGGGUUCUUGCCUGUGUUACAAGGUGUGAAGUUGAGUAAGACUCAAUGCCCGACCACUGCAGAAGAUAGAGAGAAAAUGAAAAGUGUUCCCUAUGCUUCAGCCAUAGGCUCUAUCAUGUAUGCAAUGUUGUGUACCAGACCUGAUGUGUGCCUUGCUAUUAGUUUAGCAGGGAGGUACCAAAGUAAUCUAGGAGUGGGUCACUGGACAGCGGUCAAGAACAUCCUAAAAUACCUGAAAAGGACUAUGGAUAUGUUUCUCGUGUAUGGAGGUGACAAAGAGCUCGUCGUAAAUGGUUACGUCGAUGCAAGCUUUGACACUAAUCCGGACGAUUCUAAAUCACAAACCUGAUAUGUGUUUAUAUUGAACGGUGGAGCUCUCAGUUGGAGCAGUUCUAAACAAAGCGUCAUGGCGGGAUCUACUUGUGAAGCGGAGUACAUAGCUGCUUCGGAAGCAGCAAAUGAAGGAGUCUGGAUGAAGGAGUUCAUAUCCGAUCUAGGUGUCAUACCUAGUACAUCGGGUCCAAUGAAAAUCUUUUGUGACAAUACUGGUGCAAUUGCCUUGGCAAAGGAAUCCAGAUUUCACAAGAGAACCAAACACAUCAAGAGACACUUCAAUUCCAUCCGCGAUCAAGUCUAGGUGAGAGACAUAGAGAUUUGCAAGAUACAUACAGAUCUACAUGUUGCAGACCCGUUGACUAAGCCUCUCUCAUGAGCAAAACAUGAUCAGCACCAAGGCUCCAUGAGUGUUAGAAUCAUUACUUUGUAAUCUAGAUUUUUGACUCUAGUGCAAUUGGGAGACUGGAGAAAAUAUGCCCUAGAGGCAAUAAUAAAGUUAUUAUUUAUUUCCUUAUUUCAUGAUAAAUGUUUAUUAUUCAUGCUAGAAUUGUAUUAACCGGAAACAUAAUACAUGUGUGAAUACAUAGACAAACAUAGUGUCACUAGUAUGCCUCUACUUGACUAGCUCGUUGAUCAAAGAUGGUUAUGUUUCCUAACCAUAGACAUGAGUUGUCAUUUGAUAAACGAGAUCACAUCAUUAGGAGAAUGAUGUGAUUGACUUGAGCCAUUCUGUUAGCUUAGAACUUGAUCGUUUUAGUUUACUGCUAUUGCUUUCUUCAUGACUUAUACAGGAUCCUAUGACUAUGAGAUUAUGCAACUCCCAAUUACCGGAGGAACACUUUGUGUGCUACCAAACGUCACAACAUAACUGGGUGAUUAUAAAGGUGCUCUACAGGUGUCUCCGAUGGUACUUGUUGAGUUGGCAUAGAUCGAGAUUAGGAUUUGUCACUCCGAUUGUCGGAGAGGUAUCUCUGGGCCCUCUCGGUAAUGCACAUCAUUAUAAGCCUUGCAAACAAUGUAACUAAUGAGUUAGUUGCGGGAUGAUGCAUUACGGAACGAGUAAAGAGACUUGCCGGUAAUGAGAUUGAACUAGGUAUUGAGAUACCGACGAUCGAAUCUCGACAAAGGGAACAACGUAUGCUGUUAUGCGGUUCGACCGAUAAAGAUCUUCGUAGAAUAUGUAGGAGCCAAUAUGGGCAUCCAGGUUCCGCUAUUGGUUAUUGACCAAAGAAGUGUCUCGGUCAUGUCUACAUAGUUCUCGAACCCGUAGGGUCCGCACGCUUAACGUUCGUUGACAAUAUAGUAUUUAUGAGUUAUGUAUGUUGGUAACCGAAUGUUGUUAGGAGUUCCGGAUAAGAUCACGGACAUGACGAGGAACUCCGGAAUGGUCCGGAGAUAAAGUUUGAUAUAUGGGAUAAUAGUGUUUGGUCUCCGAAAGGGUUCCGGAUGUUUUCCGAAAUGUUUGGGUACGAGAACACUUGAUUUGGGCCAAAGGGGAAAGCCCACAAGGUUUUUGUAAAGCGCAAAAAGGAAGUUUUGCGGAGUCCAGGGGCCAGACGUCAGGGUCCCUGGCGUCUGGGUCCAGACGCCGGGAACCCUGGCGUCUGGCCCUGGAGUCCGAGAAGGACUCUUGCCUUUCGGGUGAAACCGACUUUGUGGAGGCUUUUACUCCAAGUUUCGACCCCAAGGCUCAACAUAUAAAUAGAGGGGUAGGGCUAGCACCCAAGACACAUCAAGAAACACCAAGCCGUGUGCCGGCAACCCCGUCCCCUCUAGUUUAUCCUCCGUAAUAGUUUUUGUAGUGCUUAGGCGAAGCCCUGCGGAGAUUGUUCUUCAGCAACAUCAUCACCACGCCGCCGUGCUGCCGGAACUCAUCUACUACUUCGCCCCUCUUGCUGGAUCAAGAAGGCGAGGACAUCAUCGAGCUGAACGUGUGCUGAACACGGAGGUGCCGUACGUUCGGUACUUGAUCGGGACGGAUCGUGAAGGUGUACGACUACCUCAACCGCGUUGAUAAACGCUUCCGUUUUCGGUCUACGAGGGUACGUAGACAUACUCUCCCCUCUCGUUGCUAUGCAUCACCAUGAUCUUGCGUGUGCGUAGGAAUUUUUUUGAAAUUACUACGUUCCCCAACAGUGGCAUCCGAGCCAUGUAUCCUCCCAGAAUCUCGUAGAAGUACCGUUACCGACAAUAAACUUUGUCCGAUUGAAAAAAACUGAUCUAACUCCCAUCAGUCCUUUCCAAAAAGGCGAGUCCAUUGGCCUCACUAUCACCUGAGAUAAAGUUUUGGAAUGAAGGUACUUAUUAUGCAGAAUUUGUGCCCAUGUAGCCUCCAUCUCAACAGAUAGCUUAUACAACCAUUUGCUGAGAAGACAUUUGUUCUUCACCUCAAGAUUUUCGAUACCUAGACCCCCUUGGUCUUUCGGUCGACAAAUAAUAUCCCAUUUGGCGAGUCUAUAUUUUCUCUUCAGAUCAUUUGCGACAAUGUUAUUGUCAUUAAUGUUCUAGCGGCAUUAUUUAUAGUCCCCAAGGCAUUAUUUAUAGUUCAUAAUUUUUACAUAAAUCAUAAAUCUGAAAUGUUCAAGAAAAAUCAUAUGACUUGUUUAGCUCGAAAUUGAGAGAUGUAGGAAACUAAAUUCUUUCAUGUCCGAGACAUUUCUUUUGAGUUCAAUUUUCUCCAACAUCUUAUUCUUAGGGAUGUCUAAACUGAUAGAAAGCAAUUAACAGCAGAAAUUGUCUCAAGAACCUUAGGAGCUUAAUGUGAGUGAGCUUUGCAUGGAACCAAAUUUUCAGUUAUAAUGGCACAAGAUUUAGUUUCCUCAAGUAUCUCACUCACGGGCAUAUCUCAUGUACUGGAGCCAUCCACACCGACUGUAUAGAACCAGGCCUCCACUGCUCCGGUGCUUCACCAGGCAGGCGGCCACCAGGGUUAUGUUCUACUCUCCAUCCUUCCUUUCUUCCGCAUCCAUUCCGCUCACUGCAUUUUUUUUGCUUGAAGUGCGAGGAAAUUGGACUAAAGAUGAUGGAUACUAAUGGGGAGAUGGGACAGUGGGAGGAUUGCCGAAGCUGGCCAAGCAAAAGUAAGUGCUUCUCCUCUGUGUUUAAGAAAUAAAAAAAAUCGGUGUUUAAAUGUUUGACCCAUGGCAGGUGCAAAGAAUGCUAGCUUCUUCUGCUUGCGAGAAUGAUAUGUGAGAAUAUAUUAGUUUAUUUCUUGAGGGGAGGAGAAUAUAUAAAAUUCGUGCAUAAAACAUUGUUAAACAUGUAUAAAAUAAUGCUCUUGAUGUAUAAAAAUGUAUGAAGUUAUGUAAAAAGUAGACAUAAAAAACAUAUUUAAAGAAAUGCUAAUCAUGUAUUCGAAAAAUGUUAAUUAUGUGCAUAAAAAUGUUCAUGGUGUGCUACCUGAUGUGCUACCACCAUAGCCUUAUCUAGAUGCUGCAAGGUCAGCAGUUGGACACCGUCAUCAAGUAGGUAGUACAAAUCCCCCUCGGCUCCCUUCAUUGUUAGUCAUUGUUUCGAUAUGAGUGGAAAGAUUCUGGCUAGAGAUCAUUGUGAUGUUUGAUGCAGAAUGAUAUUUGAGUUGAUGUUGCUUUAUGUAGUUAUGAUCAUAUGGUUGUCAUUUCCUGCAUGUCACGAUCUAAAAGGAGAAGAAAAUUGAUGCAAUCAUUUACAUGUUGUGUAUAUUAACUUAAAGGAUCCACGUAUCAUGGAUGGGAAUUGGAUGCAUGAACCUAAUAAGUAGUCCUAAUAAGGGAUUUCUCAUUGUGCUAACCAUCUUCAUUCUGACAAGGUUCCAUGUGAAUCUGAGUCCCCUGAUGAAGUCGCAUUUGUUAUUCAAUUAGGGUAAGAGUUCAACAAGAGGGCGCAUACAAGCACGCCAAAUUUCAUAUUCAACAGUAUACUUGGCUUCAGACACAAGUUCCAUAUACAGAUCACACUGUCAAAAUUUACAAUCUUUAAAUCAUUAUAAAUCAAUAGUACUUUCAAUUCACGCCGUCCUUUGUUUGUCGAGAAAUGGUUAAUUAGUUGAUUAUUAUGAUCAACAACAACCAUGAUCAUACCACUUCCUUUUUACAGGGGCCCUGCAUCGAGGUUGAUGGAGAUGAUUGAGCUGCUCGCCGAUUAUUGGUAACAAUGUAGAGCGGCUCUAUCAAAUUGCCUUGGUUGGAGCAGAACCAUCGGGUUCAGGUUGCAGCUCACUGUGCACUUAAGAUCACAGGGUCAAAAAUUCCACGUGAACUCUUUAGUUCAUAUCGUCUUUACUACCAGCUUGGCUAAAUUUUCAUUGGGAUACCAGCUUGGUUAAUUGUUGCCUAUCUUUCAUAUAAUUGAGCCGAUAGGUGGUACCGACAAUACUAUAGAUGUUUAUUUUGUUAUAUGGAUCCAAUCUUUGAGCUCGUUUAUGAUCAACUACGCUUAGUGUCAUUUCCCUGUUCUUUUGCGAUAGUUCAUAUUUUCUGCAGAUUUAUGUUAUAAAUGAACUAUGUUGUCAUUUUACUUCUUUGAGAGAGACCUGUGUUGAAGAUGAUCAACUCAAUUUACUGGAAACAAAAGUAUGAUGAAAAGCAGUUAAUCUUACGUAUGAAUAGUAACUUGGUGGAACUUGGUGCACUCAGUUGUAGGUGCACCCAAUAUACAAAAAAAGGACUUGAAAAAUGUCAAAAAGACCCGACGUUGUACACGUAUAAAAAGUUUCAUGAAGGAAUACUUUCCAACAUGACGAAAACAAAAAUCACCAUUAUAUACAAGUUACUGUUCAUUAGGUUUCUACUAGGAUUUUCUUUUUGUCUGAGGUCAACGGAAGUUUAUUCCCGCACUUAAUUUUUUAUACGGAUACCAAAAUAGGUCAACUUUGUUUCAAAAAUAAUUUCAGGAUUUUUUACUUUUUCUGUAAUUAAUAAAUUAUUUUUUUCCUUAUCAGGCGCACUUUAUAUAUACUAUCCAAAAGCUUGUAGGACGAUGGCUUUUUCUCUGAUUUCAAUAAUGCCAGCCGUCGUCUCUAACUUGAUGUAUUAUAUUUACAGAUGAGACAAAUGUAACCAAAAAAAUGGUGGAGCCAUUAAGAGUUAACUCGGAUAGAGAAUUGCUCUACCGGUGUUACAAGACUGGCGAGUUGAACUUUUAUAUUUUUUGGUUAUUUGGCCUCAAAGGAUCUUUGUUGAAAAGAGCCUCCUCGGCCCUGGGGGUGAUGAGAAAAGGAAUCCACUAAGAAAGGGUUGAUUAUGCCACACAUGCAUAUGAUGGCUUUCCCUCUAUUGUUUUUGGAAAGAUAGUGAUGAGAAAGGGUGAAUUUGUGUGCUUUUUGAUAAUUUUGUUGGUUUGUUAGUGUGAGAAAGUAUCACAUAGUUAGAAUACUUGUGGAGGCCAUGGCUGGUACAUAUGAUCUAAAGUUUACCACAUUCUGACCUUACUAAUGGAGAUGUACUUGAUGUAUACGAAAAUGUAGACUUAUGUGAGGUAUUGGAGAUGGAAAGUGAGGGGGGUCUUUUUUUAUCUUCUCUAAUGGAUACAUAAAUUUGUACACUAAAUCGGGCAUGUGCGCACGAGGGGGAGAAGAGGAGAGAGACAUUGACAUUUUUCAUGCUUUGAACAAACAUUUUCUAUUCGUAGCUUUCUUUUUUUGUGGCAGUGCGUGAGCGUGGCGCCUCGUGAUAGAGCCCGGGAUGAAGGGUGGGCCCAGUACAGAACCAGGAGGUACUUGCACUAAGAUAGAAAGACGGUUGCCACCCUUGUCCCUUGUUGUUGGCAUGCAACGGUGGUGUCGAUCACUAGCUCACUUAGAACACGAGUUUGUGGAUUUUGUUAUGAGAGUGAUGGUUGAGAGUGAGCGGGAUGGGGUUGGGUUUGCCUGUUCAGUUGCGGCUGUAUGACCGGAAUAAGUUUUCUACUUUAGGAAAUGUAGCAAAUUGCAUUUCAUUAGAGACAACUUUGCAGCAAAUUGCAUGAGCGAGCGCUUUAUUUUUUUCAUCAAGUCGUACAGUUUGUGGUUAGGAUAGAAAAACAAAUGCAUUAGUUCGUUGCUUCAAGAGUUUUUUUUUUGCGGGGUGGUUGCUUCAAGAGUUAAUAACGGAAACAUGGCGUAUCAGUUGCAUGCCCAACAAUGGACAUCAUACUUUUGUUUCUUGGUAAUGCACGACAUUUAAAUGUAUGUUACAACGUGCAAUGGCUCAGGAGACAUUGCAUCUUCCUUCUUGGCUCGAGGACGUUAUGGUCGGUGCAUAGCUCCUCCCCCUUGACAGCGAUGGUGGAUCAAUGUGAACAUAGGAGGGGAUCAGGGCGGUUGGUGGGGGACUCCUCUUUGGCGGUUCGUGGGGAAGUACGGUCUGAAGGAUAGAGGGCGACAUGACGAAGGUGAGGUGGACAUCAUCUAGUUUUAAAUGAGAGGGCCCCAACAAGAAACGUCCCGUUAUAGUGGCAAUCGAGUGGAAGGGGAGGGUCCAGCAGAAAAAAAGAGGGGUGCGUUAUGGGGUGGGGUUUUUUAUGAGACCAAAUAUUGAAGAUAACAUGGCGGAUAGUACGGACAACCACAUUUCUUCCUCACAUACUAGUAAUCGUACACGUGCAAAUGCACAUUUAUCUAAAAUAAAAUUGAUCCUUAUUCAGUUUUCAGACUGGUAUAGGUGUGAACAUAUAAUUUUAGUGAUCUAAAACGUCUUAUAUUUGUUUAUAGAGGGAGUAUAUUUUAUUCCAAAUUGUUGCUACGAUAGAGAUCUUAUUUGAGAAGAAACCAUCCAAAUAUAUUCACACGAAUUUUUUAAGGGAAUAUAUUCACAUCGUUCACAGCAAACAUCAAUAGAAAAAACUCUGUAUUAAUAUUUCAAAUGACUUAAAUGACUUCCACUAUACAUUGGAAAACUGAAAACAUGUCUAUGCUUAUAUGGUUGACUUACAAUUCCAUGCAUGAUUUGAUUCCAUUGUUUGAUACUCCAUCCAACUCUAACUCUUCUCUAUAACUGAAAAUCAACCAAGCAAAACAGAAAAGAGAAACAAACUAUAAGAACAUGAGUAAACCUUAUCUCGCUUCGACGCAAAUCAUGGAUGAUUGUGGGCGCCCAGCCGCUGAUUAUGUAAAAUUACCUAGCAGGUCCAGCUCUGAUGGUCCUGCAAGCAAGUCUCUUGUCUGGAUAUAAUAGUUCUAGGCACAAACUUAAAAACUUUAUUAGAUGCCCCUGAUGCACUGUAAGGCCUUGCAGUGUUAGCUCGAACAGCCCAACUGUAUGGACAUGUAAAUCAGGUAUCGACAUGAAAACAUGGACGAAGAUUCUAUAUAUUUUUGUAGGUGAAAAAUAAAUUUCAGUUAGUAGUUGCCGCAAGUAUAUAUGUAUUGACACAUUCGACAUACAGUAUGAUAUAUCAAUAGUAAAAGUUCAUAUUAUAACAUUGUACAAAUAGUAAGAUAUUUGCUCAAGAUAACACAUCGAUUCACAAAACCAAGUCCCAAAAAGGUAGACCAUCCUUCUGCACGGCAACACAAUAGUCAGACAUAUGGAAAACUUAGCUGCAUGUCAAAAUCAUACGAUUAGAAUCCAUUAAUCUUUAGAAAUAUAUACUUGUUUUAUCUAAUUCAAUCAGCAAAAGCAUAUAGGUCCAGGAAUAGGAGUUAAUCUGAAGCAUGUGUCUUGUUCUUAACUUCUCUUUGGCUGCUCUCUUCUCCUUCUGGUUGAUCUGUUGAGAUCCUUUUCCAGAAGCAUAUUCAGUAGAAGGAAAAAUAAUACUUUGAAGGAGAACCGUAUUUUGAUAUUACAAAAAAGCACAAAUUUAGUACAGGUAAGAUUUAGUAGCUCCCGAUGUUUCGAGUCAUUUAUGCAACUCAGAAAUACCACAAAAUAUAACCAGGACUGAAUAAUUGCACAAGGAAAAGAGUAGCAAGUGUCCAGUAAAUACAACUUGGCACACGAUCUAGCUUACGAACUAAUGAAUAGAUUGAAAGGAAGUAUUGCUACAUGCAUAUAUAAUGAACAUACAGUGAAGUACUGUCACAAUGCACAUGUCAGUGAAUUUGAACAUUGUUCUUUAUGUAACUGUAAAAACUAAGAAUAAAGACCGGAACCAUUUGUAAUGAGUAAGAAGCCAAUCCUUGAAUUUUGGAAAAUGUACAGUAAAAUAAUUAAUCAAAGUUCAAUGCAAAAUAGAAAGAUGUCCAUUAAGAGACAUACUCCUUUUCCAGGUUCCUUAUGAUCACAUUUAGCACACCAUCAAUGUUAAUAAGCUCAUACGCAGCCUUGAUCAAGCACCUGGAUUAUAAGAGAACAUACAUUGGACACUUUAGUAAAAUGAUGCUUCAUGAACAGCUACAUGCAUAUGUACCAGUCUGAAAGUGAUACCUCCAGAUUGCAAAAGUUUGUGACCUCUUGAGUUACAAAUUUACAAGCACAAGGAUGAAGAAAAUAUAAAGGGAAAGAAGAGAAGAAUGCACCAAGCUGCGUCUGCGUGACUACUGUAGCAAUUAGCAAUGUAAUCAUGCAUCAGCAAGUCUUCUGAAAAUCUCUCCGAUUAUAGUAGGUGGUUAAGGCCCGGUUUAAUAAAAUGUCUCCAAAGUGGCAAAGCUAGGAGAUAGUACAUUUGUAGCAAGAAAAUAAUUACAGAAACGAUCUUUAGAAAUGCAUGCUUCAGUUCAGAGUAGUUGUUUCAAGAAACCAAACAACCCAUUAAAAAAUGCCAACUACAAAUUGAGUAGCGGGCUUCAGAAUUCUCGGAAGUCAAAAUUGAUUCAUGCAAUCUGUACACACUUGAAACCUACACCCCGUAGUCCGUGAACAGUUGAGGAAACUUGGUAUGUGCAAUCUGUACACACUUGAAGCAGUCAAGCAGCAAACAGAAAACUGAAUAUGAAGCUCUUUGGAAUGGUUUAUGAAAAGGAAAAUCACAUGAGUAUGAGGUACACCGCACUGGAAACUGAACAUGAAGCAGGCCCAUCCAUGGUGUUUCAUGGAACCAGAUUUCCUUUGCUGCUCCUCGUCUUGCAUGUUCUUGCAAAAAAUAUAGAGUAUGAGGAUACACCGAACUGGUGGCUUGAUGUUAGGUGUUAAGAUAAAAUAAACUUGAUCAAAGUUCGCCCGCGUGGUGGCGAGGGCCCCAAUGUGGCGGUGGUGGCGGCCCGCUUUUGCAUCUGUGGGGCAGUAGCCGACCCGCGCUCAUGUCCGUGUGGCAGAUUCGAAGGAGCGGCGGGGCGAUCCAUGCUCACAUCCGUGAGGCAGAAGAGGAGAGCAGCCGCCGGCGGCGGCGAUCCGCUCGCGUCUGUGAGGAAGCAGCGGUGGGCGGGACGUUGGCCGUGCGCAGCCGUUCGUCUGGCAGAAAAGGAGCGUUGGCAGAGGAGGAGCAGCGAGCGGCGGGCGGCGGGGGCAGAAGGUGCAGGCAGUUUCUAUUUUUGUUGAGGCGUGGCGUGCGGUUAGUUUGAUGAUGACAAGCGGUACGGGGAUUAGAUCGGUUGAUCAGUGGCUUGUUGCCUUAAACACAGAGAUGUUUUAGACCCUUGGAUCGGCUAGAUAAACGAUUCUGGUUAUUUGGAUCUGCCCCCUCUCUUCCUUUUACAGGGGUAGUAGAUAAGCAUUUGUAGCUAAAAAUGGAUCGAUUAAAUUGUGACAAAGAAACAAAAUUAUGUACAGAGUUGUAGCAAGGAACCAAAAUCAAAGGGGUUCCAAACCUGGGUUGAGGAAACCUAUCAAACUUGCAACCUGAGCAAGCUAAAAAGGCGAUGAAAUCAAUGCUCUCACCUAAAGCAAGGAGGAAGCUUGCAUGUGGUUGACAGUGAGGUGCAGAGGUUGUGGUUGUUGAACAAUCACACAUACAAAAUUUAGGAUUUUCUAUUCCGUUGUGAAACACAUACCUUCAAUAAUGAAAGAGUGACAUUGCAAGACACUGGAUAUUACAAUACAUUUCAAUUUAGCAUCUAGAAAUUGUUUUCCCGGUGGCACACCUGCAGGCAUAGAAAUAUAGGACAUCGCGGUGAACAAUUUGAAUAAUAUAUUCUUAUUGAAGUAUAGUGAGAGCAAAACAUAGCACACAAAGCGUAAAUAGCAGACCUGAAUAUUCCAGCAGGAGUAUUCAACUAUUAAUGGUAAAGACAAAUGAACAGGUUUCCAUUUCAUUGAAGAUGCUCUAGCCAUAGGGUUAAAUUCAUUUGAAAAAUCUGAAAACACACAGUUGUAAACCAUUGCCUACGGAACUGAACACACAUAUCCAAAACACCUGAAAUCGGGUUUCCAUAAUUCUUUGUGGUACACAGCUAAAUUAUAAACUUAUUCAUAU